CUCCUUUGACCUGGUUCACACCAAGAAUAGAUCUUCCUCUUUCGUCGUCGAGCUGUUGUAGUGAUCGGUUGUAGUGCUCCUGUGAUUUUCUACAAUUCCCUUUGUCUCCAAAAGGUGCCAAGUCAAGACUGAAGAGAAGAUUACGGGUUUUUAUUGUCAUCUGGGCUGCCCAACCUACAGUCAUAGUAGGCCUAGAAUAGUGCUUUCUAUUUUAUAAUUAUCGUUUCCCAACUUAAUUAAGACAUGUAGGUUAUGCUUUGUAGUACAUUUAAUGAAUUAUUUGCAUGCUUGGUUGUUGUUUUAUAGUAAUUUUUGACACGAAAAUGGACUUUAUUAGGAGAAUAGAUCCAGCAGCAGAGUUGGACUUUACAGUGUCUAGUUAUAAUAUAGCAGCUGAAGUUCAUUAUGGAUUUUGUAAUUUGAGAAGUGGUGUUGGGUAGACGCAGUGAUAAUUUUACACUUUACUGAAAUUAUUAUUAAUCUAGCCAAUGAAGGCAAGGCCUCAUAAAUCGGCGGAGACCUGUGUUUUUGAGGUUCUGCAACUUGAAAUUAUUUACCAUGUGUUUUUGUUAGUAACUAUAUUGUAGUGAAUCUCUCCACUACUUACUAUUGAUUCAGAGCGUUUGAUGGUAAUAGCAAACCAUAAUGGUAAUGCAAUGAAGUAUUAAAAUCUUAAUCAUUAGGAGGCUAACAAGAAAUGGCUUUAUUUUUAGUAAAUUUAUUAAAUAGGCAUUGGAGAAAAAAUUGCUCAAAAAUGUUCAACUUGGAGACUGUAAAUUUUACUUUAAAACAGAAUCUUUAAUUUUUAAUAAUUAUUUUUAAAUCUAAGCAACUAGUCUGCAUUAUGCACAAUAGUUAUUCAUUUCUACCAGCACGUCGUCUUCUUUCUACACUACUUCUCGCUAAAACAGUUUUUGUAAAAACUAUUGUUUUGUUAAUUUUAAAUACUUAAAGAGUAUUAUAUAUGUAAAUGCUUCAAGAAAUAUGUGGCAAAUUAGAGUUAGUUACCAACAUUAUAUAAUAAACAAGUGCACUUGGUUGAUGACAAAUAUUUUAUUCUUAAUCUAUAAUAAAAUACCUCAAGAUUAUAUCGACUAAUGACUAAAUAGCAAAGCAAAUGGUGGUCAUUUUUUUUAUGAAUCUUGAUAUUCCUCAAAAAUGCUUAUAUAAAAACUACUGGCCUAAUUUCUGAAUUUUCAUAUACUGACCUAAUAUCUGCAUUUUAAUAUUACAAGUAUGAUUUAAUUGUCGUCGGUAUAUCCUUGAUAUAUUUACUAAAUUUAAUUUCAUGUGAUGGAAUACCUACCAGAAAUAUAAUCAUUAUUAAUUUGUUUUUCAAUCGCCGAUAAAAUUUGGUAACAGGGAAGGAAGUGAAAAGGUUUGAAAUUAAUUUUUUUACAUAACAUAUAUCUUUGUUUAACAUAAUUUUCAGCAAAUAUUUUUUUAUAGAAGUUAAACUGUUGCAAGCCUACAUUCUUGGAUGGUUGGUUAUAUUAUCGAUGGUUGGUUAUUUUAUCGAUGGUUUUCUCACCUUACGGUGUGGUUAUAAUUUAUACUAAUUAUGUAAGCAUCUUGUAUACAAGAUAUUUUAGCUUGGCACAUCUUGUUCCAUUUAAACAUGCUGUUAUAGAAGAAUUAAAUCAAUAUUGUUAACAUCUCUUAUUAUGCUUAAUAAAUGAAUACCUUAAUGACUGUGUUGAUAAAUAUAAUCAAAUAUUAAUAUGAAUGUUAUUACUAAACGUUGUGUGAAUAAAAUUGAAAAAAAACUCUUCGACAAAUCAUGGACUAAUAUUUCAUUAAACACAACUAAUAUUUCUUAUAGACCGCUAUUGAAGUAUAAGAUAAGACGUAAGGUAUAGUUUUAAGUUGGGAAAUGAAUCAGGUUGAAUUUGUAAGCAGGUUUCCGGGUUUCAGGUAGCUAUAAUGUGUCAUUGUGUUUUCCACAGCUUUCACAGUUGUGGGAGUCCCAAUUGAUUCUCUAGUUUUUCUGACCCAAGCCUGCCUGUAAUGAUAAUUGUUGUAAUGUGGACAGCUCUUUCUACAAUAAAGUUUGUUCUGUUAAUAAUUACUCGUAUUUGUUCAAUUCUCUAUCCUCUAGUUUUUUAACAUAUCUAGUUUUGUUGGUGCAGCUUUUAGGUUUGGCUGGCUACUUGCACCUGACCUAUGGUGUGAUAGAAGCAGUUUUUGAGGGGAAAAGAAAUAGCGUAUUCCGGCCUUUGUCAAGGAUUGUAUAUCGCCACUGCUAAUACUGUACAUGUGAAACGGUCGUCAAACCCCUUGUAAUACCAUGUUUGUAUGAUAGAAGGUAUGUGAUAGUUGGUAUGCAGGACUAAAAGCCUACUAUUGUUUGAUAUGACAUUUGGUAAAUGAUUAUUGCGAAUGUGCUAUUAAUGUUGAAUGAAAUUUAAGUUGUUUAUAAAACUGAUUGUUUUAAAUAGUAAUCUCAAGUUUUUUUCUCAUCAAAGAAUAGCUUUUGCUAAAAUCUGAAACUGAUCAUCUCAAAAAUUAAAGAAUAAGCAAUGCUGUACUAUUAAGUUAACUCAUGUUUCUAUGGAAACUACAUGAAGGUUGUGCAUGAAGUUUCCAUACUGAGAAAAUCUCACUCGAAUAAUUCUAAUGUGAAGAAGUAAACAUUGAAUUGCAGGAAUCAUCUAUGAAUGCUUGUACAGUUGAGGUAACAUUUGACUCUUUGUUCAUAGUUAAAGUUCCUUCAUGUACAUUUUGGUGUAGAUGAUUUAGUAGAAUACACAUAUCGAAAUUGAUUUUGAUAAAAACUUAUAAAAAGGUGAGAUACUUCAGUGACAGUGCCUCACAUUAGUGAAUGUUCUUAUGAUUUUAAUGGUCGGAUAUGGAAAUGUAUGUAAUGCAGAACUGAUACUUUCAGAAGUACUUAGUAUCGUGUGUCGCUGCUCUCCGAAAAAUGUUGCUGAUACAUGAAUGACUCCUCAAAGAACAAGGCAAGUUCGUUCAGUUACAAUGGUGUCCCUUUUUGGUAAUUUUAUGGUUAAUAUAUUACAUUUUCAUUUAUUUAGUUAUUUUUCGCUGUCUAAAUGAUCAUGUUCUUAUUUAUCCUAAACGAGUAUUAUGUAAAAUGUUAUAGCCUACAAAGCAAAAGAAUUUUUGGUUUAAGUUGUACAGCACACAAUUCAUUCAUUGUUGAAGAUAAGAUAACAUGACUUCUAUUUUUACAGCCUACUAUGUAAAAAAGAUUUUUUGUCCAGCAGAUAUUGUUAAAAAGUAACACAUGAGUUGCUGUAAUUUACACAUGCCAUGUUUUAAUAUUUCUGUUGUGAAUUUUUUCUAUAGAUUUAUUAACUGAAUAAACAUGUUCAGAUAUAUUUUUCGCUUAAAAAAUUCAUAGCAUUGGUUUAUGAUUGCACUUUUAUUAAACAAACCAAUUAAACGUACAUUUGAGCUGGUUCUGUAUUUAACUGAAUUUAUCAAACGGUUAGUAGUGUAAUCUGAAGCCCUAUAAACUGCUUAAUUAAGUCUAUUAUUGAACUGAAGCGCGUGGAACUUUUUUAGUGUCUGCUGCCUUAGCUGCCGAUUUUACACGUCUAUCGACAACACCAAGAUGUUCAAGCCGCAUUGUACAGAGAAGAGAAUCAUCAAGGCUGUUUUGAUACGGUAACAUCGAUAGCAAUGUGCUUCUCUAUGCGUUUAGUAAAUCGUAACAUUACAGUUAUAAUGUUUUAGUUCUUCUGAUUGUAAUGGAUGACAACGCAUGUACUGUGAUGGAUGAUCAAACUAUAUAAUAUCAACAAACAGUUAUUGUAUCAAACUAUAUAAUAUCAACAAACAGUUAUUGUAGAAACAAAUAACAAAAAAUAAUCGACUCAAUUUUAAAUAGCUGAACUUUGUUGCUCACUAGCCAUGCUCUCAUGUACUGACAAUUUAUAUUGGUUGCUUAUUACUGAAGCAUUUAAAACAAAGGAAUUUCUCCUUUAUGAAAUCAUUCUCUCAACUUAAUAUCAUGGAUUUGUAAUUAAAUUCUCUAAACAAAGCAUAGUUAAAACUUUUUAUGUCUCUUUAAGAUUUAGAUUUGAAGUUACUGCCUAAAAAGAGCUUUUAACAUGACUAAUUUUGUUUUAAGUAAGUAGGUCUGAUCCUAUAACUAUCUUUAAACCAAAUUAGCCAUUCUUAAUUAAAAAUCUUCAUAAAGAAAGGAAUGAUGGCUUUUUGUGCAAUUAUUGACUACUUUAAAGUUUAAAGAUAACAUUUUGAUUGAUCUUUUGUCUAGUAAUAAUAUCUGAAAAGGUUGGUAGAAUUUGCAGACACUUUAAAUUGUUAUAGGCUCAAAAAUAUUUCUAAAUCAAUCUUAAAAUUAAAACAAAAUACAUGUCUUGGGUUUUGUAGUGGUGCAUUCAUGAAAUUACAAGACUGAAUUAUGACUAAAAAAUAAAAAUUUGUGAAUAAAAUAGGUCGGUUUUUGAAAAAGAGUCAUAAUUCUGUAACAUGUAAAAGGUACCCUAAUAUUUUAAAAUGUAGUGAAAUGUUUCUUUCAAUUCAAAAUUGUGGUAGAAAUAUUUGAUUAAAUUAAAAUUGUGUCAUAUUACUGUAUAAAGUAGUACAAUUGAUCAUUUUGAUGUGAACAAUACAAAGAAUUAUUGGUUUAAUUUUUUCCCAAUCUGUAUAAAAUGUUUAGGCUACAUACAACAAAUAACUAGAUAAAUGCUACCAAUAAUUCAUAAAAAAUGCUCAUUUGUUUCAAUGAAUUACCUGUAUUGAUGAGUUAAGACUUUGUAAAUUUUGUUUACUAUUUUUUAAAAAUUCUUGAGAAAUCUUGCACUAUAUUGUUGCUGAAUAAUAUAUUUGGCAAGAAAAACUAUGUUGUAAAAAUUUUGUUUUUGUAUACAGUUUAACAAUUAGGAAGUAACUAAAAGGCAUUUUUCACCAGUUCAUGAACUGUAGUCUAGUUCUAACUGAUUUUGAGUGUUAAAGAGGAUACAGUGUUUAUUUUUGAUUUUUACAUUGUCUUUGUUCUCCAUUUUGUCGAAGGAUUGACAGAAAGUUUAGACUGCUUGAUAGAAAUUACACUUUUCCAAGAUUUAAGUGGACGUUUUAAAAAUAAAGCACCUAUUUAAAAUUCAAGGAAUUUCAACAUUGCAGAAGUAAAUACAAUAUGUGAAGAAAUCACAUUUUGCAGGAACUGUACGUAUAAAGGAAGAACAACCAACUUCUAUUUCAGCUUGUAGUGAAAUCAAAUUUAUAAUAUUAAUCACUCAAAUGUGGCAGAAAUACAUUUCAAGAAUUGUUAAAAAAUAAACUCAACUGCUAGUGGAAUGCGAGAAUCUGAAAUUAUACACAAUUUCUUGUAAUACAAAGUGAAGUAAAACAAAAUCAAUUAAAUAAUCAGCAAGAAAAAUCUGAGUUUGAUAAUGUGAUAUGAAAAAGGUUAGUAUACUUUAAUUCAUUGCUUUUGUUCAUUUAAAUUUGAUUAAAAUACAUUUUUAGUAGUCAAAGUAGGGAAAGCAAAUAUUUAUAACAUUUUGUUGGUAAUUGCCUAAUUAAAUUUAUUUUACAAAUCUCAAACUUAUUUCCUUCACUUAAACUAACACUAUUAAAAAAAGUAGUAAUGUGGAGUCUGGCCACAUUACUGAAAAAUUGUGAGAAGCUGAUACAAUAUUAGCUGAAUAAUGUGAAUCUUUUUAUUAAGCUUAAAUUAAUAAAAUACAUGAGGGUCACUUUGAAAGUUAAAGAUACCAGCAAACUUUCAUUCUGCAAUAUAAAUUUUUAUAGGAUUGUCUCAGUGUUAGUGAUUACAUAAAUAGCAAUCUGGAGUCAUCUGUGUCUUAUCUCAUUUAAAAUUAAUUUGAUCAUAUCUCAAGAGGAAAGCGCAAAACAUCUAAAAAUUGCCUUGAUUCUGAAGUUUCAUCUUGUUUUAUUGUCUUUAGGUAGCAUCCAAAAUUUUGAAGAUGCUGUAAUUCGUGUCAAAAUAAUAAAACAUUUGGGAAGGCUGCAUUCUGUUAUCACUCAAGAAAACGUUUAUUAGGUGUGCAUUAUUCAAUGAUUGAGGCUUUUCCUUGGGAUUGAAACCGCAGUAGUGCGAAUAGUCUUCCAUGACUUUAUAAGGGUCAAGAAAAAUUUAUCUCAUGGGUAGCUCACAAUUUGACAACUGAGCAAAAAACUGAGUGAGAAUCAGCUAGCAGACCCUCCAACUGAUAAAUGAACAUGGUUUUCUUCAGGAAUAAGAGACAACUAAAGGCUAUUAAUCUGAAGGGACAAAGGACUUGCAGCAAGUUAAUACACUGAACAUUGCAUACUAGAAGUUCUUCCUCACUUAAAACACAAGUACACUGGUGCAAAAUCUUUUUAGAGAAUUAGGCCGGAAAUUUCAUCAAAAGAGCACCCCUCUUAUUCACCCAAUCUUGCUAUAUGAGACUGGUUAUUCUUCCAACUAAAAAAAGUUUGUACAGUUGUUACUUCGGAAGUCUGAAUUGAUAGAUUCGUAAAUAUUUUUAUUCUAUCCAAAAAGUUGGGUGCUUUCAAUGAGUGGAAAAUUGACUUCAAAGUGCUUUGAUGAUGUGGAGGGGAUUGAUUUGAACACGCAACAUUUGGUGUACAUAUGGUACGAAAACUUGAUAGAUGUAUAUAUUAUGAACUUUCAGAGUGACCCUCUUAUUUCUUAACACAAAAUGUAUUAAGAUUUUGGUACUUAAUUUCUCACGAUCGUACAGUUAGUCAAUGACUUGAUAAUUGCUGCUCUUCCACAUGCUAAUUUUGGACAGUGUGCGGAAUUUGUAUUUUGUCAAAUCAUUAAUCUGUUGAUUACAGAUAGUGUGACAAAGUCAACAGUCAUGUGAGUAGAUAAUAUUUUUGAUAAAUAACAUUUGUACAGUAUUGAGUUUUCAUGAAUCUGGCAUAAUAAUACAGUAGUUAUUACAAAUAGACCAGUUAAAAUCUAAAUGUUCAUUACCAACUAAAUAACACAAUUUAAAAAAAAUAAUAUUUUUUUGAGUGUUGUGACAUGGAAUUCUUCAGAAAAAGACGAGCGCUUUCACAUAACCAUGAGGAUAUAAUAUGAUUUGGGUGGUUUGUGUAUGUAUUCCAAAAAAUGAUUUUUUUAAUUAAAAAAAAAAUUGCACACAAUAAUUUGAAUUGUGUAAUAGUGUGUUUGAACUAGUUUUGACAAUGUUGAAUUAAAUUUGAAUACAGGCAACCAUCUCAACAGAUUAUAGUAGAGUAUCAACUGAAAGUAGCCAAAACAAGUCAAUUACAAUGUGUUGAAGAGGAAUUAUAUGACAAAAUGUGUAUUGUGAUUGCAAUAACUUAUGCAGGUAACUGAGGUUUAUUCUUAACAUUAAUUAUCAACCAAAGCAAGUUCCAUAAAAGAUAUAUUACAUGAAUUGGCAGCAAGUAAUUGUAAUGUGAAGACAAAUUUAACUAACAAAGAAAAGCUACCUGUAUCAUCUUUACUAAAAAGUUUGAUCAAACUGUGGGCAUAAUCUUGAUUUUCUGUUUUUCAUUUGAAUUUUGAAUGAAUAAAUAAGCUAAAGCAAAGAAGUUGGCAUUUAACUGAAUGGUUUUUCAUGUCUCCACAAGAGAGUGAUGUCAUCUUGAAUUAAAUGCAUACCCAUUACAGAACUUUGUCAGCGGUGGAACAGACUAGUCUACUACACAGUAGUCUUCUAGUACAAGAGUUAUCGAAGUGAUGCUAUUAAGAGAGAGCCGAGUUGCGGGUGUGCUUUUAUGGAACCGACAAGCCCAUUCUUCUUAUGCCAGCACGAUCUGUAAGCUUUUAUGGUUAUUAACACUUCAAUAUAUUUAACAAACAUCCUCAUGACUUGAACAUGAGUAGUAAUAGACAUUAUGAAAUAAAUAAUGGUCCAAUUCCUUAACUGCAGCAGAUGCCACAUGGAUGGUUAAGAUGCUCACGAUCACUCUGUAUAAAACCAGUCGAGUGUUGAACAUGUACAAAAUUAUAUAAUUUAACUUUUUAAUUAACACGUUCACAACGAUGUGUACCCAACCAGCUACACGUGAUAUUUUACAACUGCCAUUGUAUACCUGAUUGGUACACACUAGACUUUUGUAUUGCAAGUUGUAGGUACACGUAGCUAUGAAUUUCGUUUUUGGGUUUUUUGUUGUUUUCCUGUCUUGGUGGUUUUUUAAAUUUGAUCUCUUGCUUAAAUACCUCAAGACUAUUGUGUACCCCUCUGGGUGCACAAUUGUUUAAUUUUUAAAAUAAUUUUUUAAGCACCCCUUAGGGUUUUUUGCAAAAUUUAAAAACAUUGAAAUAAAUAUUUUUGUACAAAAUUGCGAAACCCUCUUUAUACUUACCUUUGACGUACUAAAAAUCCUAUUACGGUUUUUUUUCCAUCCAUAUUACUUAAAAAUUCAACAGCAAAUUAGUCUAGAAAAACACUGAUGUGAACAUGUUAAGGCAAUGGAAAAAAGACAUAGGUUUUUUUUAUAGUUGCUACUACUAUUUCAAUAAUUACUACGAAAUUGGGAAAAUCUUAAAUUAUUGACCCUAGUACUGUGGUAGUUUUGUAAAUUAUGAAUUUGUUUAAAUUUUUUAAGAAUUUGUGAAAAAGUGUGAAAUACUAAACUGCAUGAUUUACUUACUGUUUUCUACAGUUUUAUAUAUUGGUUUAUGUACAUCUAUAAUCCCUUUAUAAUUGUCUUCUUUAAUCUGACAUUAUUUGCAACAAAUAAAAUAAAAUUAGGCUAUACAUUUUAAUGACAAACUUUUCUUUCCUUAUUUAGUGAGCUAAAAGAAAAAUAAAAAAGUUCUGAAAAUUAUCAAUAUAAGUAAUACAUACAUACAUAUAUAUAUAUAUAUAUAUAUAUAUAUAUAUAUAUAUAUAUAUAUAUAUAUAUAUAUAUAUGUAUAUUAAUUCUUUAUCUAAAGUCAAUUUCAUCUUGGAAGAAAUGAAGACAAGCUCUGUUCUACCCUCAAGGCAAAGCGGGUAGGGGAGGGUGUUUCCUCUUGUUUAGGAUAGUCACAAUUUUCAACACGAAGAUCUCUACCCACUUAGUCAUCCUCCUAUCUGUCAACUGUAUCUCACCAAAUCUCAGGAGUGAUGUGCGGUUCCUAGACAGUCGUGUUGCCCAUAUGCGACAGUGAUUUUGCUGUACCCAGUGGAGGUUCAACUUGAAGGUACUUUAAGUUUUAAUGAUAUAACCCUAACUAAUCUAUAUUAAUCAGUAAAACUAGAAUUGGAACAAAAAAAAAUGAAAAAUCAACACCACUCAUGUUGAACACAACCAUGGCCAAGAGGGGAAUUGAGUCACUCAUUUUUAUUUGGUCAGAAAUGCCAAACUAGCACAAAAUAGCUCCUCUUGUUUGUGAGUUGGUGUACCCACUCUUCCUCUUCAUUAUAUUGAAUUUUUAAACAAAAUAUAUUAUAUAUAUAUAUAUAUUUGAGUCGAUUUGUUCCUAAUAUCUUUAUCUUUCUGAUUAGCAAUGUAAUUAAUUAGUUUAGAACAGCUCAGCGACUAUAGGUAUAGGGGAAACACGUGCGUUGCAAAAACUUUGUUCAAGGUAGGUUGGUUAAGGUGAGUACUUUUUUCUAGUUUCCAUUUUCAGGGAUCUUAACUCGACAAGAAGACAAUUUGACAUAUCUUGGAAUAUCUUCAAUUUCUACAUCGGUCUAAGAUCUGAAACUUAUUCUGAAAUGAAAUGAAAUAUGCCUCUAUUUAAGAGGCGGAGGAGGAGGAGGUUUAUUUAUUCUGCUGAUGUUGACUGCGACUUCAGUUAUAUUUGAUCACUUACAGAUUUGACUACAUUAUUUUACUGAAAUUUUAAUAAAAUUAAAAGUAUUUGUCGGCAAUAUUGUAGUUUUGAAUAAGUUUUAUUACAAUAAAAUAAGUAUCAUAUAAAUGGUUUUCAUUUUUGCCAGUUUUUUUCCGUUUUAAUUUAAUAACUACACUUGGUGGAUAGAUUAUUAAAAUACUAGUCUGUACAAAAAUCCAUUGAAGUAAUAUUUAUUUGCCUUUUUUUUUUUAAUGUAAAAUUUGGUUUUGAAUGCGUUUAUUAUUGAUACUGUUACAAAUAAGUUUUUUUCUGUUAGGAUUCAAUCAGCUGCCAUCUGUUACUGAUUUUUUAUAACUGUUAGGAUCUUAAGGUACAUUUUUUCGGUAUAUUUGGUAUCAUAAAACGUUAUAUGUAUAAUGUAGAAGUAUGAAACAUAUUGCACAUCGUGGUUACCCAAUAUACUUUUUGUUGCUAAGAACUGAAAAUUAUAAAUACAAUUACUUGAUCACAAUGAAAUAUCACAAAUAAAAUGUUCAUAUGCUGCUUAUACACUUGCUAAUAGUUUUAAGGAAUUAUUUUAGUGUAGGUUGGGGCUUUUUGUUGUUAAUUUUUCUUAGAAAAUGCAGACUUUAAUAUUAAUAAUGAAAAAAAUCCUAUUGCAUUUAACUAGUGGAUUUCGUUUAAGAAAAAUUAAGUCUUGGCAAGAUAAUUUUGUGUAUGAACAUUAUAUACAUGAAGAUCGUAUGUGUUGAUAAAGCUCCUACUAAAGCUGUGAAAUGUUUUGACAUUUUCUUGUUGAGCAUUUUAAUAUUUGUUUUAAUCAACCAUAAUGUCAUACAGAUGUCAUAAAAAAAUAUUUUGUUUCAUUAACCAGAAGUAUUUUGGGGUUCUAUUUAAGCUAAUUUGAAAAGAUUGGAUGAUUUAACCUUUUUUUAUUGUCUAGUAUAAUAAUUAGUUCUAACGUAAUGCAGUAAACCAUGUUUGGUGGAUUUUGUUCAUUGGCUUGACAAUAAAAGAAUUUAUUAGUUGAUAAAAUUCUUAUAGUGUAUUAAAAAAGCUAGCAAUUAAUUUGAUUAAACAUUUAUAAUAUAAUUUAAUUGAUUUGAAUGCUCUGUUAUAAGAUUAUUAAAUUGAUAUAUUUUGGAAAUUACUGCUUUGUUUUCUCAGAAAACAUGUAAUAUGGUUUUAGAAGUGCUGUUUUGAUCCAGCAGGAAUUAUAUGAACUUGACCAUGUGACAAUAUUCUCUAUGGCUUCUCAAGUUUCACACGGCAUAUUUUAGACAGAGGUAUGGAGAGAACUCUAGUGUGCGUUUGACCUAAACUGAUGUGUAAUAAAACCCAGGAGAUUGCUGCAGCUGUCGAAAAUGAGGUAUUUUGGAGAUGGGAGUAUAUUUUGAAUAUAGAUGUUUUAUUUUUAACUGUGUACAUUUGGAUUAUUGGUAUUAAUAAGAUCCUUGUAGUUUUUCUUAUUUAAAAUAUUAUGGUAUGUUAUCAAAAAAUAUUGCUAGUGAAUCUUGCUCUGCUGGUCUGAUGCUUGUGAUGAUAUUACUAAUUCCUAGAAAUAUUCCUGUAGUUAUUUAAGAGAAAAGAUUCUGCUGUAUCACUUUUUUAUUCAGCUUACUUUUUCAUUUACAUUAUUUUGUAUCUUAUCUUAAAGAUGACAAAAAGGUGGUCAUAUAAUUAUUAUGUUUAAGAUUUAUUAAUCAUAUUUUGUCAGUCCAAUCAUAAAAGCACUUUGAUUUUUCUUCCAAAGUGAUGCCUGUUGGUGAUCUUUGUCCUUAGGAAUGGCAUUGCAUACCUUGGCUCUGGCAUACAUUAUUUUUUUUUUAGUAGCUGACAUUUUCUAUAUGGAAAGAUGAUAACUGCUAGUGUACCUUUUGAAGUAGCUGUGGUGUUUGCAGUUUCUUGCUGCUUCAGGUAGUUUGCAGACUAGGUUUUCCACAGUAAGGACUUUUAACUCUACGAAGUCCUGUCUACAGGAUUAUCUUUAGUAGAAUCCUUAAUAUUGAUGAGAAUCCUAAUUGGAAUUUUUUGUGAAUAAGGAGCCACUGCUGCUAUCAGCUACCUCCUGUUGUCUCCCUAAACUAUAGUCCCAUGUCAGGAGCCUUUGUUGAUUUUUUUGUCUCUAAAACUUCCUAACCAGCACAUAAACAAGUUCUUUUUAUAAUUUUUAACAAAGAUUAAAUAAUCAGUACAAGUGAGACGUCCUCAGUAACUAUUCCUAGGUACUUGCUGUGGUUGUUUCCUCUAGAUUGCCUAUAGUUUCUUUGUUACUUCCUAGAGUAAGUUCUUUUGUUUUAUUUUCAUUAACUACAAGGUAGUUUCCUUCACAAUACUGAAUUCCAAUAUUUAGUGCAAUGUGCACAGGUAUUUCAAGUUGAUUUUAUUUACUUCGCAAGAGUACAUUGCACAUCAAUCUAUGGCUGUAGUUUUCUAUUUGUCUUGGGGAAUCAUUUGUUUGUAAAAUGUACAAAACUGGCCCCAGUACAGUACACUUUAACACACUACGAUUUGUCUUUAUGGUCUCCGGGAAUGACUUAUCUGACAUGUCCAGUUAUCAUUGGUAUAGUUUAUCGCAGGCUUCAUUCUGUAAGAUAACUAUUUAACCAGUCAUUUUAAAAACCUCUGGUGUGUUUUUAACCUCCUUCCCCCAAAAUUGCCAAGUUUUGCCAAAAAAGGUGGUCAUGGUUGAGGCAGUCAAAGGCUAUAGUCAAGUAGAAUGGCUGUGGCUUUGUUAUCUUCCUUCAGUUGGUCUGUUCUGAAUUUCUUCAAGUUGAUAAGGUUGAUACAAGCUGUUGUUGAUCUAGUCUGAAAUGCUGCUAAGAUGCUUAGUUGACAAGUUUUGUGUUGUCUGGUCAGAACAGUUUUUCUGUAACAUUAAAAAUAAUAAAGUGGAAAACUGUUGAAAACCAGUAGAUGUUUUGUUUUCAGUGAUUGGAUUAGUUUAUCCAUCUUAAUUGGAGUUAUUGGUCGCAGUAUUAAGUUUGGAAUAUCUUAAGUUAGUCUGUUAGUAUUCUUUGGUUAUAUAGAAGAUUCUGAUUUAAUAUAAAGUGUCCUCAGCAAUAUUUAUGAAAAAUUAAUUGAGGUUUUCUAAAUUUGUGUUAUUGCACUAAAGAUCAUUCAUUGGUUUAUAAGGUUUAUACAAUCCUCAACAUUUUUUAUAUUCAAUUAUUUUAGUUGAAAAUGUAUGCGUGUAUGUGAAAAAAAACUGGUUACUGGAGUCAUUCGUGAAACAGGUCCUGCUAUACUUCCUUAUAGAUCACGCCUACUACUUAAAUUAAAAAAUAAUAUGGGACCUUGUAAGGGAUGUAGAAAUAUUAGGAGAUAAAUGAUUGUCACAAAAAUUGUACAUAUAGGCGGGCCUAUUAUGGCUGCUUUGCAAAAAAUUUUUAUAAAUGCUCUCAGGCAUGUUAUCACUAAAAAAUGUACUUGUGUUUUUCAGCGUGAAUUUUUUCGUAAUUUUCGAUUUGAAAUGUAUAAAAUUUACUUCAUACAUCUUUGUAAACGUGCAAUUUUUAUCUUAUUAGACAAGAUUGGUAUUUAACACUUAUUGUAAACUUUACUAAAAUCUGAUAUAUAGCUGAAACAAUUAUAAUCAAGGAAGCUUCAGUUCCGUUUACAACAGUACAUCGUUCACAAUAGCACGUAGAGCAGCAACAAUAAACUUGAAGAACCUGUAAAAUAAAUAUGUUGUUUCUUGAAAACUCAGUAUAGAAACAGUUGAUUGCAGUUAAGCAGAAUAUUUAAGUAAUGAAAUAUAACUUAAUGUGAUGAGUAAAAAACAUUCAAAUAUCAUGACAAACUGAUCACUUCAGCGAUGUACAUUUUGUUUUGACAGACCCAAAAUUCCCUCCUUGACCGAGGAAACUCUAUAAAUGAACAUUAUGUACAUAGAGAUUAUAUUAUAUUAUAUGUAUUGGUCAAACACACAGAAAAUUCCCUCCUUGACCAAGGAAACUCGAUAAAUGGACAUGAUCUAUAUAGAGAUUAAGUGUUGGUCAAAGAUCCAAGUAUAACUGCGAGUCUUGUAAGUAAUAUAUUUUUCAGUUUCUAUUUUUGAGUGUUUUAAUGCUUGCUAUAACAGCAACUACAAAAACAAAAUAGAGACCAGUACUUACAUUUGGAGAGGAAUAGUGUUCCAUUAACAAGUUUAAGUAUUUUGUUUAAAUUUUCGCAUUUUAACAAUGAAAAUGAAACCGUUUUGGGUUGAUUGUAGUGGCUAAAAGAAUCUUAAGACAUUCAUACUAUAAUAAUUGAAUUUACUAUAUUAGUUUUCUCUAGAUAAAGUUAUGUAAUAUGGUUUUAGAAAUGGUGCCUGAUCCAGCAGGUAUAUAUAGAAUAUACAUAACAGAAAUGAAAGGUAUAAAAUAAAAUCAUAUCAUUAUAUCAGAUGAAAGUAUUAAAAUUAAAAUUGAAACUACCAAUAAAAUGAUUUAAAUCUAUUUAUGAGAUUAAUAAAUAUAUAAUGUGUUUUAGAAUUGGUAUCUUUUUGUGGAGAAGUGGACGUUUGUUAGUAUGGUUUAAAAUCAACUGCAGCAGGAGUCUUAUAGUAACCUUUGGUGAACUUUUCCGAUUUUUUAGGAUGAUAGAAGAAAAUAAAAACUUCGAUUUUAAAAACAUGAAGCAUUAUCCUCUUUUUUUAAAAACCUGAAGCAUUAUCAGCUUGAGGACUUUGGUUAAGAAAUUUCGACUUGACAAGAAUAUUUGGUGAAUAAACAUCUCUACAAAGUUCAAAUGUGUUGAUUGUUCUGACUAUAGAAGUGAGUGUUAUAAAAACAUAUUCAAAUUUGAGUUACUGCACACAAAAAUUUGUUAUUUUACCCAGUUAAAGUAAUUAGUUGUUUUUUAUCGCAUUAUAACUAAUUUGAAAAAUAAAUUAUUAAACCAUAUUGAGUGUUGCUGGUAGUGCCAAAAAGAAUAAAAUUAAUCAAUUGGUAAUAUGUUUUGGAAAUGGCUUUUGCAUUUUCUUUCCCCAGGAAAAAGAUUUGUAAAGUUAUUUUUAAUGUCCUGCUUGAUCCGGCAGAAAUAAUAUGAAUUUAAGGAUGUGACUUACGAUUCUCCUAUGACUAUGCAAACCUGUAGUGUAUGUUAAAACCUAUUUACUGAUUUUACGAAAACCAGGAUGUUACUGUCAGCUAUCCUAAAAUAGGUAAAGUAGAGAUGCAAAUAUAUCAACUAUUGUAAACUUAAACAAAUAACACAAAAUAUAGAAGUAUAAAAUAUUUGCAUAUCACAAGUAAUUUCACAUAAUUCAUACAUAUAAUAAAAAAAUAAUAUAAUGGUACAUAUAUGAAUUAGAAUAUAGAAAUUAAUAUUUUCACAAUGUAGUUGUUGGUUGUUUGUGUUGUUUUGUUAUUUGUCAGGAAUAGAUAUCUAACCGCGAUUUGUGGAGUUCCUGCCGUACCUACUUUAUAUUGAGCUUACUACACGAGGAAUUUAGAAAACGAUGGGGCCGAUAAUCGAGGUAGAAAUAUCGGAGGUAAAUGAUUUAUUCACAAGACUUAUAUAAUAGAGGUAUAAAAUAUAAGCACAUGUUUAUAUAAAUAUCAGAAUAGAAAUGUUUGAUAAUAAUAUUAAAACUACCAAUAAAAAGAUUUUAAAGUGUAUAUAUAUAUAUAUAUUUGAGAAUAAUCAAUGGAAAAAUUAUUGUGGAACUGGCAUCUCGUUGUUUGUUUCUUAGGCGUGGAGGUUGUAGUGUGAUUUAAAUGAACUGUCUUAUACUGCGAGAUUCAUAUGUAUGUGCCCAAGUGAUUUGAAAUUCAUAUGACACUGCAAGUUUUAAUUAACGGGUACGGAGAUUCUUGUAUCGUGCUUGUCGGAGCCCAACAUAAUCAGUUGUCAUGGAAUUUAGGAGGGUGCCAGCUAUAUAGAAAGAGGUACAAUUUAAUAAUUGUACUAUAAAUUAUUUGUUAGCUAUACAGUACUUACAAUUAAUUCUUGUUUAAACUUUUAUUUGCAAAAAGUUUUUGUUUGUUGUGUGUCUUGGUUUGUUACUUGUCAGGAUUGGAUAUAUUACUGCCAACUGCGAAGGUAUGGGGAGUCACGACUGAAAGGAGUUCUUACUGUACUUUCUUUACUCCAGCCUACUACGUGAGGAAUUAAGAAAAGUGUGGGAUCUUGUAAGCAAAGUAGUAUUACUGGAGGUAAAUUAUUUGUCACUAAACUUCUACAUAUAACGCAGAAUAUAGAAGUAUAAAAUAUUAGCACGUCACAGGUUCAGAUAAAAGUUUAAAAAAUUAAACAUUAAAACUACCAAUACAUUUAUUUUAAAGCGCUAUUUAUUAUGACCUUAAUCAAUUGAUAAUUUGGAUUGGAAUUGGCAUCUCUCUUUGUUUCUUAAGAAUGGAAGGGUUUAUAGUAUGGUAGAAAACGGCUGUGGGAGUCAUAAGUAUUGGCCCCAGUGACUGUGUAAAUCGAGUGGCAAGUCCUUAACGGCAUAUGUGGAUAAGGGGAUACUUGAUCAGUGGUUAUUUGAACUCUGCAAUUUAACGAUAUCACGAAAUCCUGGAGAUUACUGCUUCCUAUAUUAAAUGAGGUAAAUUACAGUUGAGACAAUAAUAGAAUUAAAAGUUUUAUAUAGUUAAAAAUCCUUAUUAUUAGUCUUUGAAAAAUUCUUUAUUAGUCAGUAUUUAUUUAAUAUACAGUAUUAUUUAAAUUCAUCAACUUACGUCUGAAGUAAAAAAUGUAAAUUUUUGUUGUUGGUUGUGUGUCUUCUUUGGUUUUUUGUCAAGAUUUGGAGUACUAGUGCAUUAAUUACCUGGUCACUCGAAACAACGAGAUUCCCAGUCUGUGAUUGAGCCAACACGUGAUGGAUUAAGAUAUGAAUCUGAAGUCAUUUGAGGCAGCAGUGAGUUACUUGUAAGGAAUUUGUGGUUCAGCCGACAACUUGUUGUUUUAAGAUUUAUACAGAGACUUCCAAGAGAUGAUGAUAAACAAUGAUAAUAAUUAAUUUCACGUAAUUCAUACGUAUAUGAUAAAAAAUAAUUUAAUUGGUAUACUUCAAGGACAUUAUUCUGUAAAAGGUAAUAGCAUUAUUUGUUUAAAGAGUAGUAUUUGUAUUUUAUAAAAUAUAAAAGUUUUGAUUGAAAAUGAAAUAACUGGUUCAUAAGAAAGAAUAUAGCUUAAACACUCUUCAUGAGUCUAUGGAAUUAUAAUAUUGUUAGAAUAUUUGUGUUGUUUCUUAUUCUUAGGACGAUGGAAGAUAAAGCAGACUUUGAUUUUAAUCCUGUAGAAACGUAUUGCAUUAUCAACUUGAGGACUGUGGUUAUGAAUGUAAAGGCUUGGCAAGUGAACUUUGCGAAUGAACAUUAUCUCGUUGAAGUGUGUUGAUCAGGCUUCCAACUAAAGCCGUGAGUCUUUUAAUGACAUAUUCUAAAAUUUACUUUUUGAGUGUUUUAGUGUUUGCUGUAGCAAUAAGUACAAUAUCAUGGUAAAGAGCAUUAAUGUUGUAUUAACCAGUUUAAGUAAUUAGUUAUUUGAUUUUGUGCAUAAUAACUAUUUGAAAAAUGGAAUGAUUUAAUCCUUUUAGGUGUCUGAAGUGUGAAUUAUUCUAAUAUAAUUUAACAAUCAAAGUCUUAUAAAUGCUUUUGAUUGGUAUUUUAGUACUUGCAAUGUGGACAAACUGCCUAAAUAGUUUCAAAAAGAAUCGAUAAAAUAUUCAUACUACAAUUUAUUGAAAUGAAUAGCUCUAUUUCUUAAUUAAUCAGUUUUUAAUAUGUUUUGAAUAUUUUAUUUGUAUUAGUUUCCUUAGGGAAAAGAUGUGUGUGUAGUAUGGUUUUAGAAGCGGUGCCUAAUCCGGUAGAAAAAUAUGAGUUUGAGGAUGUGAUUUACAAUUAUCCUACGACUAUCCAGACCUGUGGAGUGCGUGUUGGAACCUAUAAACUGAUGUCGCGAAACCCAGGAAAUUACUACCAGCUAUUUAAUAAGAGGAUGAUGAGGUAUAGUAGAGAUGACAAUAUUUCAACUACCUACAUUCCGUAGAAUUUUGGUAUUAAUAUAAUUCUUUACAAUGUCUGUACUUGUAUUGGUUGUGCGUCUUGUUUUGCCACUUUUGUUAGGAUCAGAAACUUACCUACGAUUCAUGCUGCCUGCAUUCAUUUGAGGCAAUAAAUUCCUGCUGUAUCACUUUUUGAGGAAAUAAGAGAAAUAUUGGACCUUUUAUUCAAAGAUAACUAGAGGUAAAUGAUUUAUGUCACAGAACUUAUACAUAUAUGAAUUAGAAUAUAGAAAUUAAUAUUUUCACAAUGUAGUUGUUGGUUGUUCGUGUUGUUUUGUUAUUUGUCAGGAAUAGAUAUCUAACCGCGAUUUGUGGAGUUCCUGCCGUACCUACUUUAUAUUGAGCUUACUACACGAGGAAUUUAGAAAACGAUGGGGCCGAUAAUCGAGGUAGAAAUAUCGGAGGUAAAUGAUUUAUUCACAAGACUUAUAUAAUAGAGGUAUAAAAUAUAAGCACAUGUUUAUAUAAAUAUCAGAAUAGAAAUGUUUGGUAAUAAUAUUAAAACUACCAAUAAAAAGAUUUUAAAGUGUAUAUAUAUAUAUAUAUUUGAGAAUAAUCAAUGGAAAAAUUAUUGUGGAACUGGCAUCUCGUUGUUUGUUUCUUAGGUGUGGAGGUUGUAGUGUGAUUUAAAUGAACUGUCUGAUACUGCGAGAUUCAUAUGUAUGUGCCCAAGUGAUUUGAAAUUCAUAUGACACUGCAAGUUUUAAUUAACGGGUACGGAGAUUCUUGUAUCGUGCUUGUCGGAGCCCAACAUAAUCAGUUGUCAUGGAAUUGAGGAGGGUGCCAGCUAUAUAGAAAGAGGUACAAUUUAAUAAUUGUACUAUAAAUUAUUUGUUAGCUAUACAGUACUUACUAAUUAAUUCUUGUUUAACCUUUUAUUUGCAAAAAGUUUUUGUUUGUUGUGUGUCUUGGUUUGUUACUUGUCAGGAUUGGAUAUAUUACUGCCAACUGCGAAGGUAUGGGGAGUCACGACUGAAGGGAGUUCUUACUGUACUUUCUUUACUCCAGCCUAUUACGUGAGGAAUUAAGAAAAGUGUGGGAUCUUGUAAGCAAAGUAGUAUUACUGGAGGUAAAUUAUUUGUCACUAAACUUCUACAUAUAACGCAGAAUAUAGAAGUAUAAAAUAUUAGCACGUCACAGGUUCAGAUAAAAGUUUAAAAAAUUAAACAUUAAAACUACCAAUACAUUUAUUUUAAAGCGCUAUUUAUUAUGACUUUAAUCAAUUGAUAAUUUGGAUUGGAAUUGGCAUCUCUCUCUUUGUUUCUUAGGAAUGGAGGGUUUAUAGUAUGGUUGAAAACGGCUGUGGGAGUCAUAAGUAUUGGCCCCAGUGACUGUGUAAAUCGAGUGGCAAGUCCUUAACGGCAUAUGUGGAUAAGGGGAUACUUGAUCAGUGGUUAUUUGAACUCUGCAAUUAAACGAUAUCACGAAAUCCUGGAGAUUACUGCUUCCUAUAUUAAAUGAGGUAAAUUACAGUUGAGACAAUAAUAGAAUUGAAAGUUUUACAUAGUUAAAAAUCCUUAUUAUUAGUCUUUGAAAAAUUCUUUAUUAGUCAGUAUUUAUUUAAUAUACAGUAUUAUUUAAAUUCAUCAACUUACGUCUGAAGUAAAAAAUGUAAAUUUUUGUUGUUGGUUGUGUGUCUUCUUUUGUUUUUUGUCAAGAUUUGGAGUACUAGUGCAUUAAUUACCUGGUCACUCGAAACAACGAGAUUCCCAGUCUGUGAUUGAGCCAACACGUGAUGGAUUAAGAUAUGAAUCUGAAGUCAUUUGAGGCAGCAGUGAGUUACUCGUAAGCAAUUUGUGGUUCAGCCGACAACUUGUUGUUUUAAGAUUUAUACAGAGCCUUCCAAGAGAUGAUGAUAAACAAUGAUAAUAAUUAAUUUCACGUAAUUCAUACAUAUAUGAUAAAAGAUAAUAUAAUUGGUAUACUUCAAGGACAUUAUUCUGUAAAAGGUAAUAGCAUUAUAUGUUUAAAGAGUAGUAUUUGUAUUUUAUAAUAUAUAAAAGUUUUGAUUAAAAAUGAAAUAACUGGUUCAUAAGAAAGAAUAUAGCUUAAACACUCUUCAUGAGUCUAUGGAAUUAUAAUAUUGUUAGAAUAUUUGUGUUGUUUCUUAUUCUUAGGACGAUGGAAUAUAAAGCAGACUUUGAUUUUAAUCCUGUAGAAACGUAUUGCAUUAUCAACUUGAGGACUGUGGUUAUGAAUGUAAAGGCUUGGCAAGUGAACUUUGCGAAUGAACAUUAUCUCGUUGAAGUGUGUUGAUCAGGCUUCCAACUAAAGCCGUGAGUCUUUUAAUGACAUAUUCUAAAAUUUACUUUUUGAGUGUUUUAGUGUUUGCUGUAGCAAUAAGUACAAUAUCAUGGUAAAGAGCAUUAAUGUUGUAUUAACCAGUUUAAGUAAUUAGUUAUUUGAUUUUGUGCAUAAUAACUAUUUGAAAAAUGGAAUGAUUUAAUCCUUUUAGGUGUCUGAAGUGUGAAUUAUUCUAAUAUAAUUUAACAAUCAAAGUCUUAUAAAUGCUUUUGAUUGGUAUUUUAGUACUUGCAAUGUGGACAAACUGCCUAAAUAGUUUCAAAAAGAAUCGAUAAAAUAUUCAUACUACAAUUUAUUGAAAUGAAUAGCUCUAUUUCUUAAUUAAUCAGUUUUUAAUAUGUUUUGAAUAUUUUAUUUGUAUUAGUUUCCUUAGGGAAAAGAUGUGUGUGUAGUAUGGUUUUAGAAGCGGUGCCUAAUCCGGUAGAAAAAUAUGAGUUUGAGGAUGUGAUUUACAAUUAUCCUACGACUAUCCAGACCUGUGGAGUGCGUGUUGGAACCUAUAAACUGAUGUCGCGAAACCCAGGAAAUUACUACCAGCUAUUUAAUAAGAGGAUGAUGAGGUAUAGUAGAGAUGACAAUAUUUCAACUACCUACAUUCCGUAGAAUUUUGGUAUUAAUAUAAUUCUUUACAAUGUCUGUACUUGUAUUGGUUGUGCGUCUUGUUUUGCCACUUUUGUUAGGAUCAGAAACUUACCUACGAUUCAUGCUGCCUGCAUUCAUUUGAGGCAAUAAAUUCCUGCUGUAUCACUUUUUGAGGAAAUAAGAGAAAUAUUGGACCUUUUAUUCAAAGAUAACUAGAGGUAAAUGAUUUAUGUCACAGAACUUAUACAUAUAUGAAUUAGAAUAUAGAAAUUAAUAUUUUCACAAUGUAGUUGUUGGUUGUUCGUGUUGUUUUGUUAUUUGUCAGGAAUAGAUAUCUAACCGCGAUUUGUGGAGUUCCUGCCGUACCUACUUUAUAUUGAGCUUACUACACGAGGAAUUUAGAAAACGAUGGGGCCGAUAAUCGAGGUAGAAAUAUCGGAGGUAAAUGAUUUAUUCACAAGACUUAUAUAAUAGAGGUAUAAAAUAUAAGCACAUGUUUAUAUAAAUAUCAGAAUAGAAAUGUUUGGUAAUAAUAUUAAAACUACCAAUAAAAAGAUUUUAAAGUGUAUAUAUAUAUAUAUAUAUUUGAGAAUAAUCAAUGGAAAAAUUAUUGUGGAACUGGCAUCUCGUUGUUUGUUUCUUAGGUGUGGAGGUUGUAGUGUGAUUUAAAUGAACUGUCUGAUACUGCGAGAUUCAUAUGUAUGUGCCCAAGUGAUUUGAAAUUCAUAUGACACUGCAAGUUUUAAUUAACGGGUACGGAGAUUCUUGUAUCGUGCUUGUCGGAGCCCAACAUAAUCAGUUGUCAUGGAAUUGAGGAGGGUGCCAGCUAUAUAGAAAGAGGUACAAUUUAAUAAUUGUACUAUAAAUUAUUUGUUAGCUAUACAGUACUUACUAAUUAAUUCUUGUUUAACCUUUUAUUUGCAAAAAGUUUUUGUUUGUUGUGUGUCUUGGUUUGUUACUUGUCAGGAUUGGAUAUAUUACUGCCAACUGCGAAGGUAUGGGGAGUCACGACUGAAGGGAGUUCUUACUGUACUUUCUUUACUCCAGCCUAUUACGUGAGGAAUUAAGAAAAGUGUGGGAUCUUGUAAGCAAAGUAGUAUUACUGGAGGUAAAUUAUUUGUCACUAAACUUCUACAUAUAACGCAGAAUAUAGAAGUAUAAAAUAUUAGCACGUCACAGGUUCAGAUAAAAGUUUUAAAAAAUUAAACAUUAAAACUACCAAUACAUUUAUUUUAAAGCGCUAUUUAUUAUGACUUUAAUCAAUUGAUAAUUUGGAUUGGAAUUGGCAUCUCUCUCUUUGUUUCUUAGGAAUGGAGGGUUUAUAGUAUGGUUGAAAACGGCUGUGGGAGUCAUAAGUAUUGGCCCCAGUGACUGUGUAAAUCGAGUGGCAAGUCCUUAACGGCAUAUGUGGAUAAGGGGAUACUUGAUCAGUGGUUAUUUGAACUCUGCAAUUAAACGAUAUCACGAAAUCCUGGAGAUUACUGCUUCCUAUAUUAAAUGAGGUAAAUUACAGUUGAGACAAUAAUAGAAUUGAAAGUUUUACAUAGUUAAAAAUCCUUAUUAUUAGUCUUUGAAAAAUUCUUUAUUAGUCAGUAUUUAUUUAAUAUACAGUAUUAUUUAAAUUCAUCAACUUACGUCUGAAGUAAAAAAUGUAAAUUUUUGUUGUUGGUUGUGUGUCUUCUUUUGUUUUUUGUCAAGAUUUGGAGUACUAGUGCAUUAAUUACCUGGUCACUCGAAACAACGAGAUUCCCAGUCUGUGAUUGAGCCAACACGUGAUGGAUUAAGAUAUGAAUCUGAAGUCAUUUGAGGCAGCAGUGAGUUACUCGUAAGCAAUUUGUGGUUCAGCCGACAACUUGUUGUUUUAAGAUUUAUACAGAGCCUUCCAAGAGAUGAUGAUAAACAAUGAUAAUAAUUAAUUUCACGUAAUUCAUACAUAUAUGAUAAAAGAUAAUAUAAUUGGUAUACUUCAAGGACAUUAUUCUGUAAAAGGUAAUAGCAUUAUAUGUUUAAAGAGUAGUAUUUGUAUUUUAUAAUAUAUAAAAGUUUUGAUUAAAAAUGAAAUAACUGGUUCAUAAGAAAGAAUAUAGCUUAAACACUCUUCAUGAGUCUAUGGAAUUAUAAUAUUGUUAGAAUAUUUGUGUUGUUUCUUAUUCUUAGGACGAUGGAAUAUAAAGCAGACUUUGAUUUUAAUCCUGUAGAAACGUAUUGCAUUAUCAACUUGAGGACUGUGGUUAUGAAUGUAAAGGCUUGGCAAGUGAACUUUGCGAAUGAACAUUAUCUCGUUGAAGUGUGUUGAUCAGGCUUCCAACUAAAGCCGUGAGUCUUUUAAUGACAUAUUCUAAAAUUUACUUUUUGAGUGUUUUAGUGUUUGCUGUAGCAAUAAGUACAAUAUCAUGGUAAAGAGCAUUAAUGUUGUAUUAACCAGUUUAAGUAAUUAGUUAUUUGAUUUUGUGCAUAAUAACUAUUUGAAAAAUGGAAUGAUUUAAUCCUUUUAGGUGUCUGAAGUGUGAAUUAUUCUAAUAUAAUUUAACAAUCAAAGUCUUAUAAAUGCUUUUGAUUGGUAUUUUAGUACUUGCAAUGUGGACAAACUGCCUAAAUAGUUUCAAAAAGAAUCGAUAAAAUAUUCAUACUACAAUUUAUUGAAAUGAAUAGCUCUAUUUCUUAAUUAAUCAGUUUUUAAUAUGUUUUGAAUAUUUUAUUUGUAUUAGUUUCCUUAGGGAAAAGAUGUGUGUGUAGUAUGGUUUUAGAAGCGGUGCCUAAUCCGGUAGAAAAAUAUGAGUUUGAGGAUGUGAUUUACAAUUAUCCUACGACUAUCCAGACCUGUGGAGUGCGUGUUGGAACCUAUAAACUGAUGUCGCGAAACCCAGGAAAUUACUACCAGCUAUUUAAUAAGAGGAUGAUGAGGUAUAGUAGAGAUGACAAUAUUUCAACUACCUACAUUCCGUAGAAUUUUGGUAUUAAUAUAAUUCUUUACAAUGUCUGUACUUGUAUUGGUUGUGCGUCUUGUUUUGCCACUUUUGUUAGGAUCAGAAACUUACCUACGAUUCAUGCUGCCUGCAUUCAUUUGAGGCAAUAAAUUCCUGCUGUAUCACUUUUUGAGGAAAUAAGAGAAAUAUUGGACCUUUUAUUCAAAGAUAACUAGAGGUAAAUGAUUUAUGUCACAGAACUUAUACAUAUAUGAAUUAGAAUAUAGAAAUUAAUAUUUUCACAAUGUAGUUGUUGGUUGUUCGUGUUGUUUUGUUAUUUGUCAGGAAUAGAUAUCUAACCGCGAUUUGUGGAGUUCCUGCCGUACCUACUUUAUAUUGAGCUUACUACACGAGGAAUUUAGAAAACGAUGGGGCCGAUAAUCGAGGUAGAAAUAUCGGAGGUAAAUGAUUUAUUCACAAGACUUAUAUAAUAGAGGUAUAAAAUAUAAGCACAUGUUUAUAUAAAUAUCAGAAUAGAAAUGUUUGGUAAUAAUAUUAAAACUACCAAUAAAAAGAUUUUAAAGUGUAUAUAUAUAUAUAUAUAUAUAUAUUUGAGAAUAAUCAAUGGAAAAAUUAUUGUGGAACUGGCAUCUCGUUGUUUGUUUCUUAGGUGUGGAGGUUGUAGUGUGAUUUAAAUGAACUGUCUGAUACUGCGAGAUUCAUAUGUAUGUGCCCAAGUGAUUUGAAAUUCAUAUGACACUGCAAGUUUUAAUUAACGGGUACGGAGAUUCUUGUAUCGUGCUUGUCGGAGCCCAACAUAAUCAGUUGUCAUGGAAUUGAGGAGGGUGCCAGCUAUAUAGAAAGAGGUACAAUUUAAUAAUUGUACUAUAAAUUAUUUGUUAGCUAUACAGUACUUACUAAUUAAUUCUUGUUUAACCUUUUAUUUGCAAAAAGUUUUUGUUUGUUGUGUGUCUUGGUUUGUUACUUGUCAGGAUUGGAUAUAUUACUGCCAACUGCGAAGGUAUGGGGAGUCACGACUGAAGGGAGUUCUUACUGUACUUUCUUUACUCCAGCCUAUUACGUGAGGAAUUAAGAAAAGUGUGGGAUCUUGUAAGCAAAGUAGUAUUACUGGAGGUAAAUUAUUUGUCACUAAACUUCUACAUAUAACGCAGAAUAUAGAAGUAUAAAAUAUUAGCACGUCACAGGUUCAGAUAAAAGUUUAAAAAAUUAAACAUUAAAACUACCAAUACAUUUAUUUUAAAGCGCUAUUUAUUAUGACUUUAAUCAAUUGAUAAUUUGGAUUGGAAUUGGCAUCUCUCUCUUUGUUUCUUAGGAAUGGAGGGUUUAUAGUAUGGUUGAAAACGGCUGUGGGAGUCAUAAGUAUUGGCCCCAGUGACUGUGUAAAUCGAGUGGCAAGUCCUUAACGGCAUAUGUGGAUAAGGGGAUACUUGAUCAGUGGUUAUUUGAACUCUGCAAUUAAACGAUAUCACGAAAUCCUGGAGAUUACUGCUUCCUAUAUUAAAUGAGGUAAAUUACAGUUGAGACAAUAAUAGAAUUGAAAGUUUUACAUAGUUAAAAAUCCUUAUUAUUAGUCUUUGAAAAAUUCUUUAUUAGUCAGUAUUUAUUUAAUAUACAGUAUUAUUUAAAUUCAUCAACUUACGUCUGAAGUAAAAAAUGUAAAUUUUUGUUGUUGGUUGUGUGUCUUCUUUUGUUUUUUGUCAAGAUUUGGAGUACUAGUGCAUUAAUUACCUGGUCACUCGAAACAACGAGAUUCCCAGUCUGUGAUUGAGCCAACACGUGAUGGAUUAAGAUAUGAAUCUGAAGUCAUUUGAGGCAGCAGUGAGUUACUCGUAAGCAAUUUGUGGUUCAGCCGACAACUUGUUGUUUUAAGAUUUAUACAGAGCCUUCCAAGAGAUGAUGAUAAACAAUGAUAAUAAUUAAUUUCACGUAAUUCAUACAUAUAUGAUAAAAGAUAAUAUAAUUGGUAUACUUCAAGGACAUUAUUCUGUAAAAGGUAAUAGCAUUAUAUGUUUAAAGAGUAGUAUUUGUAUUUUAUAAUAUAUAAAAGUUUUGAUUAAAAAUGAAAUAACUGGUUCAUAAGAAAGAAUAUAGCUUAAACACUCUUCAUGAGUCUAUGGAAUUAUAAUAUUGUUAGAAUAUUUGUGUUGUUUCUUAUUCUUAGGACGAUGGAAUAUAAAGCAGACUUUGAUUUUAAUCCUGUAGAAACGUAUUGCAUUAUCAACUUGAGGACUGUGGUUAUGAAUGUAAAGGCUUGGCAAGUGAACUUUGCGAAUGAACAUUAUCUCGUUGAAGUGUGUUGAUCAGGCUUCCAACUAAAGCCGUGAGUCUUUUAAUGACAUAUUCUAAAAUUUACUUUUUGAGUGUUUUAGUGUUUGCUGUAGCAAUAAGUACAAUAUCAUGGUAAAGAGCAUUAAUGUUGUAUUAACCAGUUUAAGUAAUUAGUUAUUUGAUUUUGUGCAUAAUAACUAUUUGAAAAAUGGAAUGAUUUAAUCCUUUUAGGUGUCUGAAGUGUGAAUUAUUCUAAUAUAAUUUAACAAUCAAAGUCUUAUAAAUGCUUUUGAUUGGUAUUUUAGUACUUGCAAUGUGGACAAACUGCCUAAAUAGUUUCAAAAAGAAUCGAUAAAAUAUUCAUACUACAAUUUAUUGAAAUGAAUAGCUCUAUUUCUUAAUUAAUCAGUUUUUAAUAUGUUUUGAAUAUUUUAUUUGUAUUAGUUUCCUUAGGGAAAAGAUGUGUGUGUAGUAUGGUUUUAGAAGCGGUGCCUAAUCCGGUAGAAAAAUAUGAGUUUGAGGAUGUGAUUUACAAUUAUCCUACGACUAUCCAGACCUGUGGAGUGCGUGUUGGAACCUAUAAACUGAUGUCGCGAAACCCAGGAAAUUACUACCAGCUAUUUAAUAAGAGGAUGAUGAGGUAUAGUAGAGAUGACAAUAUUUCAACUACCUACAUUCCGUAGAAUUUUGGUAUUAAUAUAAUUCUUUACAAUGUCUGUACUUGUAUUGGUUGUGCGUCUUGUUUUGCCACUUUUGUUAGGAUCAGAAACUUACCUACGAUUCAUGCUGCCUGCAUUCAUUUGAGGCAAUAAAUUCCUGCUGUAUCACUUUUUGAGGAAAUAAGAGAAAUAUUGGACCUUUUAUUCAAAGAUAACUAGAGGUAAAUGAUUUAUGUCACAGAACUUAUACAUAUAUGAAUUAGAAUAUAGAAAUUAAUAUUUUCACAAUGUAGUUGUUGGUUGUUCGUGUUGUUUUGUUAUUUGUCAGGAAUAGAUAUCUAACCGCGAUUUGUGGAGUUCCUGCCGUACCUACUUUAUAUUGAGCUUACUACACGAGGAAUUUAGAAAACGAUGGGGCCGAUAAUCGAGGUAGAAAUAUCGGAGGUAAAUGAUUUAUUCACAAGACUUAUAUAAUAGAGGUAUAAAAUAUAAGCACAUGUUUAUAUAAAUAUCAGAAUAGAAAUGUUUGGUAAUAAUAUUAAAACUACCAAUAAAAAGAUUUUAAAGUGUAUAUAUAUAUAUAUAUAUAUAUUUGAGAAUAAUCAAUGGAAAAAUUAUUGUGGAACUGGCAUCUCGUUGUUUGUUUCUUAGGUGUGGAGGUUGUAGUGUGAUUUAAAUGAACUGUCUGAUACUGCGAGAUUCAUAUGUAUGUGCCCAAGUGAUUUGAAAUUCAUAUGACACUGCAAGUUUUAAUUAACGGGUACGGAGAUUCUUGUAUCGUGCUUGUCGGAGCCCAACAUAAUCAGUUGUCAUGGAAUUGAGGAGGGUGCCAGCUAUAUAGAAAGAGGUACAAUUUAAUAAUUGUACUAUAAAUUAUUUGUUAGCUAUACAGUACUUACUAAUUAAUUCUUGUUUAACCUUUUAUUUGCAAAAAGUUUUUGUUUGUUGUGUGUCUUGGUUUGUUACUUGUCAGGAUUGGAUAUAUUACUGCCAACUGCGAAGGUAUGGGGAGUCACGACUGAAGGGAGUUCUUACUGUACUUUCUUUACUCCAGCCUAUUACGUGAGGAAUUAAGAAAAGUGUGGGAUCUUGUAAGCAAAGUAGUAUUACUGGAGGUAAAUUAUUUGUCACUAAACUUCUACAUAUAACGCAGAAUAUAGAAGUAUAAAAUAUUAGCACGUCACAGGUUCAGAUAAAAGUUUAAAAAAAUUAAACAUUAAAACUACCAAUACAUUUAUUUUAAAGCGCUAUUUAUUAUGACUUUAAUCAAUUGAUAAUUUGGAUUGGAAUUGGCAUCUCUCUCUUUGUUUCUUAGGAAUGGAGGGUUUAUAGUAUGGUUGAAAACGGCUGUGGGAGUCAUAAGUAUUGGCCCCAGUGACUGUGUAAAUCGAGUGGCAAGUCCUUAACGGCAUAUGUGGAUAAGGGGAUACUUGAUCAGUGGUUAUUUGAACUCUGCAAUUAAACGAUAUCACGAAAUCCUGGAGAUUACUGCUUCCUAUAUUAAAUGAGGUAAAUUACAGUUGAGACAAUAAUAGAAUUGAAAGUUUUACAUAGUUAAAAAUCCUUAUUAUUAGUCUUUGAAAAAUUCUUUAUUAGUCAGUAUUUAUUUAAUAUACAGUAUUAUUUAAAUUCAUCAACUUACGUCUGAAGUAAAAAAUGUAAAUUUUUGUUGUUGGUUGUGUGUCUUCUUUUGUUUUUUGUCAAGAUUUGGAGUACUAGUGCAUUAAUUACCUGGUCACUCGAAACAACGAGAUUCCCAGUCUGUGAUUGAGCCAACACGUGAUGGAUUAAGAUAUGAAUCUGAAGUCAUUUGAGGCAGCAGUGAGUUACUCGUAAGCAAUUUGUGGUUCAGCCGACAACUUGUUGUUUUAAGAUUUAUACAGAGCCUUCCAAGAGAUGAUGAUAAACAAUGAUAAUAAUUAAUUUCACGUAAUUCAUACAUAUAUGAUAAAAGAUAAUAUAAUUGGUAUACUUCAAGGACAUUAUUCUGUAAAAGGUAAUAGCAUUAUAUGUUUAAAGAGUAGUAUUUGUAUUUUAUAAUAUAUAAAAGUUUUGAUUAAAAAUGAAAUAACUGGUUCAUAAGAAAGAAUAUAGCUUAAACACUCUUCAUGAGUCUAUGGAAUUAUAAUAUUGUUAGAAUAUUUGUGUUGUUUCUUAUUCUUAGGACGAUGGAAUAUAAAGCAGACUUUGAUUUUAAUCCUGUAGAAACGUAUUGCAUUAUCAACUUGAGGACUGUGGUUAUGAAUGUAAAGGCUUGGCAAGUGAACUUUGCGAAUGAACAUUAUCUCGUUGAAGUGUGUUGAUCAGGCUUCCAACUAAAGCCGUGAGUCUUUUAAUGACAUAUUCUAAAAUUUACUUUUUGAGUGUUUUAGUGUUUGCUGUAGCAAUAAGUACAAUAUCAUGGUAAAGAGCAUUAAUGUUGUAUUAACCAGUUUAAGUAAUUAGUUAUUUGAUUUUGUGCAUAAUAACUAUUUGAAAAAUGGAAUGAUUUAAUCCUUUUAGGUGUCUGAAGUGUGAAUUAUUCUAAUAUAAUUUAACAAUCAAAGUCUUAUAAAUGCUUUUGAUUGGUAUUUUAGUACUUGCAAUGUGGACAAACUGCCUAAAUAGUUUCAAAAAGAAUCGAUAAAAUAUUCAUACUACAAUUUAUUGAAAUGAAUAGCUCUAUUUCUUAAUUAAUCAGUUUUUAAUAUGUUUUGAAUAUUUUAUUUGUAUUAGUUUCCUUAGGGAAAAGAUGUGUGUGUAGUAUGGUUUUAGAAGCGGUGCCUAAUCCGGUAGAAAAAUAUGAGUUUGAGGAUGUGAUUUACAAUUAUCCUACGACUAUCCAGACCUGUGGAGUGCGUGUUGGAACCUAUAAACUGAUGUCGCGAAACCCAGGAAAUUACUACCAGCUAUUUAAUAAGAGGAUGAUGAGGUAUAGUAGAGAUGACAAUAUUUCAACUACCUACAUUCCGUAGAAUUUUGGUAUUAAUAUAAUUCUUUACAAUGUCUGUACUUGUAUUGGUUGUGCGUCUUGUUUUGCCACUUUUGUUAGGAUCAGAAACUUACCUACGAUUCAUGCUGCCUGCAUUCAUUUGAGGCAAUAAAUUCCUGCUGUAUCACUUUUUGAGGAAAUAAGAGAAAUAUUGGACCUUUUAUUCAAAGAUAACUAGAGGUAAAUGAUUUAUGUCACAGAACUUAUACAUAUAUGAAUUAGAAUAUAGAAAUUAAUAUUUUCACAAUGUAGUUGUUGGUUGUUCGUGUUGUUUUGUUAUUUGUCAGGAAUAGAUAUCUAACCGCGAUUUGUGGAGUUCCUGCCGUACCUACUUUAUAUUGAGCUUACUACACGAGGAAUUUAGAAAACGAUGGGGCCGAUAAUCGAGGUAGAAAUAUCGGAGGUAAAUGAUUUAUUCACAAGACUUAUAUAAUAGAGGUAUAAAAUAUAAGCACAUGUUUAUAUAAAUAUCAGAAUAGAAAUGUUUGGUAAUAAUAUUAAAACUACCAAUAAAAAGAUUUUAAAGUGUAUAUAUAUAUAUAUAUAUAUUUGAGAAUAAUCAAUGGAAAAAUUAUUGUGGAACUGGCAUCUCGUUGUUUGUUUCUUAGGUGUGGAGGUUGUAGUGUGAUUUAAAUGAACUGUCUGAUACUGCGAGAUUCAUAUGUAUGUGCCCAAGUGAUUUGAAAUUCAUAUGACACUGCAAGUUUUAAUUAACGGGUACGGAGAUUCUUGUAUCGUGCUUGUCGGAGCCCAACAUAAUCAGUUGUCAUGGAAUUGAGGAGGGUGCCAGCUAUAUAGAAAGAGGUACAAUUUAAUAAUUGUACUAUAAAUUAUUUGUUAGCUAUACAGUACUUACUAAUUAAUUCUUGUUUAACCUUUUAUUUGCAAAAAGUUUUUGUUUGUUGUGUGUCUUGGUUUGUUACUUGUCAGGAUUGGAUAUAUUACUGCCAACUGCGAAGGUAUGGGGAGUCACGACUGAAGGGAGUUCUUACUGUACUUUCUUUACUCCAGCCUAUUACGUGAGGAAUUAAGAAAAGUGUGGGAUCUUGUAAGCAAAGUAGUAUUACUGGAGGUAAAUUAUUUGUCACUAAACUUCUACAUAUAACGCAGAAUAUAGAAGUAUAAAAUAUUAGCACGUCACAGGUUCAGAUAAAAGUUUAAAAAAUUAAACAUUAAAACUACCAAUACAUUUAUUUUAAAGCGCUAUUUAUUAUGACUUUAAUCAAUUGAUAAUUUGGAUUGGAAUUGGCAUCUCUCUCUUUGUUUCUUAGGAAUGGAGGGUUUAUAGUAUGGUUGAAAACGGCUGUGGGAGUCAUAAGUAUUGGCCCCAGUGACUGUGUAAAUCGAGUGGCAAGUCCUUAACGGCAUAUGUGGAUAAGGGGAUACUUGAUCAGUGGUUAUUUGAACUCUGCAAUUAAACGAUAUCACGAAAUCCUGGAGAUUACUGCUUCCUAUAUUAAAUGAGGUAAAUUACAGUUGAGACAAUAAUAGAAUUGAAAGUUUUACAUAGUUAAAAAUCCUUAUUAUUAGUCUUUGAAAAAUUCUUUAUUAGUCAGUAUUUAUUUAAUAUACAGUAUUAUUUAAAUUCAUCAACUUACGUCUGAAGUAAAAAAUGUAAAUUUUUGUUGUUGGUUGUGUGUCUUCUUUUGUUUUUUGUCAAGAUUUGGAGUACUAGUGCAUUAAUUACCUGGUCACUCGAAACAACGAGAUUCCCAGUCUGUGAUUGAGCCAACACGUGAUGGAUUAAGAUAUGAAUCUGAAGUCAUUUGAGGCAGCAGUGAGUUACUCGUAAGCAAUUUGUGGUUCAGCCGACAACUUGUUGUUUUAAGAUUUAUACAGAGCCUUCCAAGAGAUGAUGAUAAACAAUGAUAAUAAUUAAUUUCACGUAAUUCAUACAUAUAUGAUAAAAGAUAAUAUAAUUGGUAUACUUCAAGGACAUUAUUCUGUAAAAGGUAAUAGCAUUAUAUGUUUAAAGAGUAGUAUUUGUAUUUUAUAAUAUAUAAAAGUUUUGAUUAAAAAUGAAAUAACUGGUUCAUAAGAAAGAAUAUAGCUUAAACACUCUUCAUGAGUCUAUGGAAUUAUAAUAUUGUUAGAAUAUUUGUGUUGUUUCUUAUUCUUAGGACGAUGGAAUAUAAAGCAGACUUUGAUUUUAAUCCUGUAGAAACGUAUUGCAUUAUCAACUUGAGGACUGUGGUUAUGAAUGUAAAGGCUUGGCAAGUGAACUUUGCGAAUGAACAUUAUCUCGUUGAAGUGUGUUGAUCAGGCUUCCAACUAAAGCCGUGAGUCUUUUAAUGACAUAUUCUAAAAUUUACUUUUUGAGUGUUUUAGUGUUUGCUGUAGCAAUAAGUACAAUAUCAUGGUAAAGAGCAUUAAUGUUGUAUUAACCAGUUUAAGUAAUUAGUUAUUUGAUUUUGUGCAUAAUAACUAUUUGAAAAAUGGAAUGAUUUAAUCCUUUUAGGUGUCUGAAGUGUGAAUUAUUCUAAUAUAAUUUAACAAUCAAAGUCUUAUAAAUGCUUUUGAUUGGUAUUUUAGUACUUGCAAUGUGGACAAACUGCCUAAAUAGUUUCAAAAAGAAUCGAUAAAAUAUUCAUACUACAAUUUAUUGAAAUGAAUAGCUCUAUUUCUUAAUUAAUCAGUUUUUAAUAUGUUUUGAAUAUUUUAUUUGUAUUAGUUUCCUUAGGGAAAAGAUGUGUGUGUAGUAUGGUUUUAGAAGCGGUGCCUAAUCCGGUAGAAAAAUAUGAGUUUGAGGAUGUGAUUUACAAUUAUCCUACGACUAUCCAGACCUGUGGAGUGCGUGUUGGAACCUAUAAACUGAUGUCGCGAAACCCAGGAAAUUACUACCAGCUAUUUAAUAAGAGGAUGAUGAGGUAUAGUAGAGAUGACAAUAUUUCAACUACCUACAUUCCGUAGAAUUUUGGUAUUAAUAUAAUUCUUUACAAUGUCUGUACUUGUAUUGGUUGUGCGUCUUGUUUUGCCACUUUUGUUAGGAUCAGAAACUUACCUACGAUUCAUGCUGCCUGCAUUCAUUUGAGGCAAUAAAUUCCUGCUGUAUCACUUUUUGAGGAAAUAAGAGAAAUAUUGGACCUUUUAUUCAAAGAUAACUAGAGGUAAAUGAUUUAUGUCACAGAACUUAUACAUAUAUGAAUUAGAAUAUAGAAAUUAAUAUUUUCACAAUGUAGUUGUUGGUUGUUCGUGUUGUUUUGUUAUUUGUCAGGAAUAGAUAUCUAACCGCGAUUUGUGGAGUUCCUGCCGUACCUACUUUAUAUUGAGCUUACUACACGAGGAAUUUAGAAAACGAUGGGGCCGAUAAUCGAGGUAGAAAUAUCGGAGGUAAAUGAUUUAUUCACAAGACUUAUAUAAUAGAGGUAUAAAAUAUAAGCACAUGUUUAUAUAAAUAUCAGAAUAGAAAUGUUUGGUAAUAAUAUUAAAACUACCAAUAAAAAGAUUUUAAAGUGUAUAUAUAUAUAUAUAUUUGAGAAUAAUCAAUGGAAAAAUUAUUGUGGAACUGGCAUCUCGUUGUUUGUUUCUUAGGUGUGGAGGUUGUAGUGUGAUUUAAAUGAACUGUCUGAUACUGCGAGAUUCAUAUGUAUGUGCCCAAGUGAUUUGAAAUUCAUAUGACACUGCAAGUUUUAAUUAACGGGUACGGAGAUUCUUGUAUCGUGCUUGUCGGAGCCCAACAUAAUCAGUUGUCAUGGAAUUGAGGAGGGUGCCAGCUAUAUAGAAAGAGGUACAAUUUAAUAAUUGUACUAUAAAUUAUUUGUUAGCUAUACAGUACUUACUAAUUAAUUCUUGUUUAACCUUUUAUUUGCAAAAAGUUUUUGUUUGUUGUGUGUCUUGGUUUGUUACUUGUCAGGAUUGGAUAUAUUACUGCCAACUGCGAAGGUAUGGGGAGUCACGACUGAAGGGAGUUCUUACUGUACUUUCUUUACUCCAGCCUAUUACGUGAGGAAUUAAGAAAAGUGUGGGAUCUUGUAAGCAAAGUAGUAUUACUGGAGGUAAAUUAUUUGUCACUAAACUUCUACAUAUAACGCAGAAUAUAGAAGUAUAAAAUAUUAGCACGUCACAGGUUCAGAUAAAAGUUUAAAAAAUUAAACAUUAAAACUACCAAUACAUUUAUUUUAAAGCGCUAUUUAUUAUGACUUUAAUCAAUUGAUAAUUUGGAUUGGAAUUGGCAUCUCUCUCUUUGUUUCUUAGGAAUGGAGGGUUUAUAGUAUGGUUGAAAACGGCUGUGGGAGUCAUAAGUAUUGGCCCCAGUGACUGUGUAAAUCGAGUGGCAAGUCCUUAACGGCAUAUGUGGAUAAGGGGAUACUUGAUCAGUGGUUAUUUGAACUCUGCAAUUAAACGAUAUCACGAAAUCCUGGAGAUUACUGCUUCCUAUAUUAAAUGAGGUAAAUUACAGUUGAGACAAUAAUAGAAUUGAAAGUUUUACAUAGUUAAAAAUCCUUAUUAUUAGUCUUUGAAAAAUUCUUUAUUAGUCAGUAUUUAUUUAAUAUACAGUAUUAUUUAAAUUCAUCAACUUACGUCUGAAGUAAAAAAUGUAAAUUUUUGUUGUUGGUUGUGUGUCUUCUUUUGUUUUUUGUCAAGAUUUGGAGUACUAGUGCAUUAAUUACCUGGUCACUCGAAACAACGAGAUUCCCAGUCUGUGAUUGAGCCAACACGUGAUGGAUUAAGAUAUGAAUCUGAAGUCAUUUGAGGCAGCAGUGAGUUACUCGUAAGCAAUUUGUGGUUCAGCCGACAACUUGUUGUUUUAAGAUUUAUACAGAGCCUUCCAAGAGAUGAUGAUAAACAAUGAUAAUAAUUAAUUUCACGUAAUUCAUACAUAUAUGAUAAAAGAUAAUAUAAUUGGUAUACUUCAAGGACAUUAUUCUGUAAAAGGUAAUAGCAUUAUAUGUUUAAAGAGUAGUAUUUGUAUUUUAUAAUAUAUAAAAGUUUUGAUUAAAAAUGAAAUAACUGGUUCAUAAGAAAGAAUAUAGCUUAAACACUCUUCAUGAGUCUAUGGAAUUAUAAUAUUGUUAGAAUAUUUGUGUUGUUUCUUAUUCUUAGGACGAUGGAAUAUAAAGCAGACUUUGAUUUUAAUCCUGUAGAAACGUAUUGCAUUAUCAACUUGAGGACUGUGGUUAUGAAUGUAAAGGCUUGGCAAGUGAACUUUGCGAAUGAACAUUAUCUCGUUGAAGUGUGUUGAUCAGGCUUCCAACUAAAGCCGUGAGUCUUUUAAUGACAUAUUCUAAAAUUUACUUUUUGAGUGUUUUAGUGUUUGCUGUAGCAAUAAGUACAAUAUCAUGGUAAAGAGCAUUAAUGUUGUAUUAACCAGUUUAAGUAAUUAGUUAUUUGAUUUUGUGCAUAAUAACUAUUUGAAAAAUGGAAUGAUUUAAUCCUUUUAGGUGUCUGAAGUGUGAAUUAUUCUAAUAUAAUUUAACAAUCAAAGUCUUAUAAAUGCUUUUGAUUGGUAUUUUAGUACUUGCAAUGUGGACAAACUGCCUAAAUAGUUUCAAAAAGAAUCGAUAAAAUAUUCAUACUACAAUUUAUUGAAAUGAAUAGCUCUAUUUCUUAAUUAAUCAGUUUUUAAUAUGUUUUGAAUAUUUUAUUUGUAUUAGUUUCCUUAGGGAAAAGAUGUGUGUGUAGUAUGGUUUUAGAAGCGGUGCCUAAUCCGGUAGAAAAAUAUGAGUUUGAGGAUGUGAUUUACAAUUAUCCUACGACUAUCCAGACCUGUGGAGUGCGUGUUGGAACCUAUAAACUGAUGUCGCGAAACCCAGGAAAUUACUACCAGCUAUUUAAUAAGAGGAUGAUGAGGUAUAGUAGAGAUGACAAUAUUUCAACUACCUACAUUCCGUAGAAUUUUGGUAUUAAUAUAAUUCUUUACAAUGUCUGUACUUGUAUUGGUUGUGCGUCUUGUUUUGCCACUUUUGUUAGGAUCAGAAACUUACCUACGAUUCAUGCUGCCUGCAUUCAUUUGAGGCAAUAAAUUCCUGCUGUAUCACUUUUUGAGGAAAUAAGAGAAAUAUUGGACCUUUUAUUCAAAGAUAACUAGAGGUAAAUGAUUUAUGUCACAGAACUUAUACAUAUAUGAAUUAGAAUAUAGAAAUUAAUAUUUUCACAAUGUAGUUGUUGGUUGUUCGUGUUGUUUUGUUAUUUGUCAGGAAUAGAUAUCUAACCGCGAUUUGUGGAGUUCCUGCCGUACCUACUUUAUAUUGAGCUUACUACACGAGGAAUUUAGAAAACGAUGGGGCCGAUAAUCGAGGUAGAAAUAUCGGAGGUAAAUGAUUUAUUCACAAGACUUAUAUAAUAGAGGUAUAAAAUAUAAGCACAUGUUUAUAUAAAUAUCAGAAUAGAAAUGUUUGGUAAUAAUAUUAAAACUACCAAUAAAAAGAUUUUAAAGUGUAUAUAUAUAUAUAUUUGAGAAUAAUCAAUGGAAAAAUUAUUGUGGAACUGGCAUCUCGUUGUUUGUUUCUUAGGUGUGGAGGUUGUAGUGUGAUUUAAAUGAACUGUCUGAUACUGCGAGAUUCAUAUGUAUGUGCCCAAGUGAUUUGAAAUUCAUAUGACACUGCAAGUUUUAAUUAACGGGUACGGAGAUUCUUGUAUCGUGCUUGUCGGAGCCCAACAUAAUCAGUUGUCAUGGAAUUGAGGAGGGUGCCAGCUAUAUAGAAAGAGGUACAAUUUAAUAAUUGUACUAUAAAUUAUUUGUUAGCUAUACAGUACUUACUAAUUAAUUCUUGUUUAACCUUUUAUUUGCAAAAAGUUUUUGUUUGUUGUGUGUCUUGGUUUGUUACUUGUCAGGAUUGGAUAUAUUACUGCCAACUGCGAAGGUAUGGGGAGUCACGACUGAAGGGAGUUCUUACUGUACUUUCUUUACUCCAGCCUAUUACGUGAGGAAUUAAGAAAAGUGUGGGAUCUUGUAAGCAAAGUAGUAUUACUGGAGGUAAAUUAUUUGUCACUAAACUUCUACAUAUAACGCAGAAUAUAGAAGUAUAAAAUAUUAGCACGUCACAGGUUCAGAUAAAAGUUUAAAAAAAUUAAACAUUAAAACUACCAAUACAUUUAUUUUAAAGCGCUAUUUAUUAUGACUUUAAUCAAUUGAUAAUUUGGAUUGGAAUUGGCAUCUCUCUCUUUGUUUCUUAGGAAUGGAGGGUUUAUAGUAUGGUUGAAAACGGCUGUGGGAGUCAUAAGUAUUGGCCCCAGUGACUGUGUAAAUCGAGUGGCAAGUCCUUAACGGCAUAUGUGGAUAAGGGGAUACUUGAUCAGUGGUUAUUUGAACUCUGCAAUUAAACGAUAUCACGAAAUCCUGGAGAUUACUGCUUCCUAUAUUAAAUGAGGUAAAUUACAGUUGAGACAAUAAUAGAAUUGAAAGUUUUACAUAGUUAAAAAUCCUUAUUAUUAGUCUUUGAAAAAUUCUUUAUUAGUCAGUAUUUAUUUAAUAUACAGUAUUAUUUAAAUUCAUCAACUUACGUCUGAAGUAAAAAAUGUAAAUUUUUGUUGUUGGUUGUGUGUCUUCUUUUGUUUUUUGUCAAGAUUUGGAGUACUAGUGCAUUAAUUACCUGGUCACUCGAAACAACGAGAUUCCCAGUCUGUGAUUGAGCCAACACGUGAUGGAUUAAGAUAUGAAUCUGAAGUCAUUUGAGGCAGCAGUGAGUUACUCGUAAGCAAUUUGUGGUUCAGCCGACAACUUGUUGUUUUAAGAUUUAUACAGAGCCUUCCAAGAGAUGAUGAUAAACAAUGAUAAUAAUUAAUUUCACGUAAUUCAUACAUAUAUGAUAAAAGAUAAUAUAAUUGGUAUACUUCAAGGACAUUAUUCUGUAAAAGGUAAUAGCAUUAUAUGUUUAAAGAGUAGUAUUUGUAUUUUAUAAUAUAUAAAAGUUUUGAUUAAAAAUGAAAUAACUGGUUCAUAAGAAAGAAUAUAGCUUAAACACUCUUCAUGAGUCUAUGGAAUUAUAAUAUUGUUAGAAUAUUUGUGUUGUUUCUUAUUCUUAGGACGAUGGAAUAUAAAGCAGACUUUGAUUUUAAUCCUGUAGAAACGUAUUGCAUUAUCAACUUGAGGACUGUGGUUAUGAAUGUAAAGGCUUGGCAAGUGAACUUUGCGAAUGAACAUUAUCUCGUUGAAGUGUGUUGAUCAGGCUUCCAACUAAAGCCGUGAGUCUUUUAAUGACAUAUUCUAAAAUUUACUUUUUGAGUGUUUUAGUGUUUGCUGUAGCAAUAAGUACAAUAUCAUGGUAAAGAGCAUUAAUGUUGUAUUAACCAGUUUAAGUAAUUAGUUAUUUGAUUUUGUGCAUAAUAACUAUUUGAAAAAUGGAAUGAUUUAAUCCUUUUAGGUGUCUGAAGUGUGAAUUAUUCUAAUAUAAUUUAACAAUCAAAGUCUUAUAAAUGCUUUUGAUUGGUAUUUUAGUACUUGCAAUGUGGACAAACUGCCUAAAUAGUUUCAAAAAGAAUCGAUAAAAUAUUCAUACUACAAUUUAUUGAAAUGAAUAGCUCUAUUUCUUAAUUAAUCAGUUUUUAAUAUGUUUUGAAUAUUUUAUUUGUAUUAGUUUCCUUAGGGAAAAGAUGUGUGUGUAGUAUGGUUUUAGAAGCGGUGCCUAAUCCGGUAGAAAAAUAUGAGUUUGAGGAUGUGAUUUACAAUUAUCCUACGACUAUCCAGACCUGUGGAGUGCGUGUUGGAACCUAUAAACUGAUGUCGCGAAACCCAGGAAAUUACUACCAGCUAUUUAAUAAGAGGAUGAUGAGGUAUAGUAGAGAUGACAAUAUUUCAACUACCUACAUUCCGUAGAAUUUUGGUAUUAAUAUAAUUCUUUACAAUGUCUGUACUUGUAUUGGUUGUGCGUCUUGUUUUGCCACUUUUGUUAGGAUCAGAAACUUACCUACGAUUCAUGCUGCCUGCAUUCAUUUGAGGCAAUAAAUUCCUGCUGUAUCACUUUUUGAGGAAAUAAGAGAAAUAUUGGACCUUUUAUUCAAAGAUAACUAGAGGUAAAUGAUUUAUGUCACAGAACUUAUACAUAUAUGAAUUAGAAUAUAGAAAUUAAUAUUUUCACAAUGUAGUUGUUGGUUGUUCGUGUUGUUUUGUUAUUUGUCAGGAAUAGAUAUCUAACCGCGAUUUGUGGAGUUCCUGCCGUACCUACUUUAUAUUGAGCUUACUACACGAGGAAUUUAGAAAACGAUGGGGCCGAUAAUCGAGGUAGAAAUAUCGGAGGUAAAUGAUUUAUUCACAAGACUUAUAUAAUAGAGGUAUAAAAUAUAAGCACAUGUUUAUAUAAAUAUCAGAAUAGAAAUGUUUGGUAAUAAUAUUAAAACUACCAAUAAAAAGAUUUUAAAGUGUAUAUAUAUAUAUAUAUAUUUGAGAAUAAUCAAUGGAAAAAUUAUUGUGGAACUGGCAUCUCGUUGUUUGUUUCUUAGGUGUGGAGGUUGUAGUGUGAUUUAAAUGAACUGUCUGAUACUGCGAGAUUCAUAUGUAUGUGCCCAAGUGAUUUGAAAUUCAUAUGACACUGCAAGUUUUAAUUAACGGGUACGGAGAUUCUUGUAUCGUGCUUGUCGGAGCCCAACAUAAUCAGUUGUCAUGGAAUUGAGGAGGGUGCCAGCUAUAUAGAAAGAGGUACAAUUUAAUAAUUGUACUAUAAAUUAUUUGUUAGCUAUACAGUACUUACUAAUUAAUUCUUGUUUAACCUUUUAUUUGCAAAAAGUUUUUGUUUGUUGUGUGUCUUGGUUUGUUACUUGUCAGGAUUGGAUAUAUUACUGCCAACUGCGAAGGUAUGGGGAGUCACGACUGAAGGGAGUUCUUACUGUACUUUCUUUACUCCAGCCUAUUACGUGAGGAAUUAAGAAAAGUGUGGGAUCUUGUAAGCAAAGUAGUAUUACUGGAGGUAAAUUAUUUGUCACUAAACUUCUACAUAUAACGCAGAAUAUAGAAGUAUAAAAUAUUAGCACGUCACAGGUUCAGAUAAAAGUUUAAAAAAUUAAACAUUAAAACUACCAAUACAUUUAUUUUAAAGCGCUAUUUAUUAUGACUUUAAUCAAUUGAUAAUUUGGAUUGGAAUUGGCAUCUCUCUCUUUGUUUCUUAGGAAUGGAGGGUUUAUAGUAUGGUUGAAAACGGCUGUGGGAGUCAUAAGUAUUGGCCCCAGUGACUGUGUAAAUCGAGUGGCAAGUCCUUAACGGCAUAUGUGGAUAAGGGGAUACUUGAUCAGUGGUUAUUUGAACUCUGCAAUUAAACGAUAUCACGAAAUCCUGGAGAUUACUGCUUCCUAUAUUAAAUGAGGUAAAUUACAGUUGAGACAAUAAUAGAAUUGAAAGUUUUACAUAGUUAAAAAUCCUUAUUAUUAGUCUUUGAAAAAUUCUUUAUUAGUCAGUAUUUAUUUAAUAUACAGUAUUAUUUAAAUUCAUCAACUUACGUCUGAAGUAAAAAAUGUAAAUUUUUGUUGUUGGUUGUGUGUCUUCUUUUGUUUUUUGUCAAGAUUUGGAGUACUAGUGCAUUAAUUACCUGGUCACUCGAAACAACGAGAUUCCCAGUCUGUGAUUGAGCCAACACGUGAUGGAUUAAGAUAUGAAUCUGAAGUCAUUUGAGGCAGCAGUGAGUUACUCGUAAGCAAUUUGUGGUUCAGCCGACAACUUGUUGUUUUAAGAUUUAUACAGAGCCUUCCAAGAGAUGAUGAUAAACAAUGAUAAUAAUUAAUUUCACGUAAUUCAUACAUAUAUGAUAAAAGAUAAUAUAAUUGGUAUACUUCAAGGACAUUAUUCUGUAAAAGGUAAUAGCAUUAUAUGUUUAAAGAGUAGUAUUUGUAUUUUAUAAUAUAUAAAAGUUUUGAUUAAAAAUGAAAUAACUGGUUCAUAAGAAAGAAUAUAGCUUAAACACUCUUCAUGAGUCUAUGGAAUUAUAAUAUUGUUAGAAUAUUUGUGUUGUUUCUUAUUCUUAGGACGAUGGAAUAUAAAGCAGACUUUGAUUUUAAUCCUGUAGAAACGUAUUGCAUUAUCAACUUGAGGACUGUGGUUAUGAAUGUAAAGGCUUGGCAAGUGAACUUUGCGAAUGAACAUUAUCUCGUUGAAGUGUGUUGAUCAGGCUUCCAACUAAAGCCGUGAGUCUUUUAAUGACAUAUUCUAAAAUUUACUUUUUGAGUGUUUUAGUGUUUGCUGUAGCAAUAAGUACAAUAUCAUGGUAAAGAGCAUUAAUGUUGUAUUAACCAGUUUAAGUAAUUAGUUAUUUGAUUUUGUGCAUAAUAACUAUUUGAAAAAUGGAAUGAUUUAAUCCUUUUAGGUGUCUGAAGUGUGAAUUAUUCUAAUAUAAUUUAACAAUCAAAGUCUUAUAAAUGCUUUUGAUUGGUAUUUUAGUACUUGCAAUGUGGACAAACUGCCUAAAUAGUUUCAAAAAGAAUCGAUAAAAUAUUCAUACUACAAUUUAUUGAAAUGAAUAGCUCUAUUUCUUAAUUAAUCAGUUUUUAAUAUGUUUUGAAUAUUUUAUUUGUAUUAGUUUCCUUAGGGAAAAGAUGUGUGUGUAGUAUGGUUUUAGAAGCGGUGCCUAAUCCGGUAGAAAAAUAUGAGUUUGAGGAUGUGAUUUACAAUUAUCCUACGACUAUCCAGACCUGUGGAGUGCGUGUUGGAACCUAUAAACUGAUGUCGCGAAACCCAGGAAAUUACUACCAGCUAUUUAAUAAGAGGAUGAUGAGGUAUAGUAGAGAUGACAAUAUUUCAACUACCUACAUUCCGUAGAAUUUUGGUAUUAAUAUAAUUCUUUACAAUGUCUGUACUUGUAUUGGUUGUGCGUCUUGUUUUGCCACUUUUGUUAGGAUCAGAAACUUACCUACGAUUCAUGCUGCCUGCAUUCAUUUGAGGCAAUAAAUUCCUGCUGUAUCACUUUUUGAGGAAAUAAGAGAAAUAUUGGACCUUUUAUUCAAAGAUAACUAGAGGUAAAUGAUUUAUGUCACAGAACUUAUACAUAUAUGAAUUAGAAUAUAGAAAUUAAUAUUUUCACAAUGUAGUUGUUGGUUGUUCGUGUUGUUUUGUUAUUUGUCAGGAAUAGAUAUCUAACCGCGAUUUGUGGAGUUCCUGCCGUACCUACUUUAUAUUGAGCUUACUACACGAGGAAUUUAGAAAACGAUGGGGCCGAUAAUCGAGGUAGAAAUAUCGGAGGUAAAUGAUUUAUUCACAAGACUUAUAUAAUAGAGGUAUAAAAUAUAAGCACAUGUUUAUAUAAAUAUCAGAAUAGAAAUGUUUGGUAAUAAUAUUAAAACUACCAAUAAAAAGAUUUUAAAGUGUAUAUAUAUAUAUAUAUAUUUGAGAAUAAUCAAUGGAAAAAUUAUUGUGGAACUGGCAUCUCGUUGUUUGUUUCUUAGGUGUGGAGGUUGUAGUGUGAUUUAAAUGAACUGUCUGAUACUGCGAGAUUCAUAUGUAUGUGCCCAAGUGAUUUGAAAUUCAUAUGACACUGCAAGUUUUAAUUAACGGGUACGGAGAUUCUUGUAUCGUGCUUGUCGGAGCCCAACAUAAUCAGUUGUCAUGGAAUUGAGGAGGGUGCCAGCUAUAUAGAAAGAGGUACAAUUUAAUAAUUGUACUAUAAAUUAUUUGUUAGCUAUACAGUACUUACUAAUUAAUUCUUGUUUAACCUUUUAUUUGCAAAAAGUUUUUGUUUGUUGUGUGUCUUGGUUUGUUACUUGUCAGGAUUGGAUAUAUUACUGCCAACUGCGAAGGUAUGGGGAGUCACGACUGAAGGGAGUUCUUACUGUACUUUCUUUACUCCAGCCUAUUACGUGAGGAAUUAAGAAAAGUGUGGGAUCUUGUAAGCAAAGUAGUAUUACUGGAGGUAAAUUAUUUGUCACUAAACUUCUACAUAUAACGCAGAAUAUAGAAGUAUAAAAUAUUAGCACGUCACAGGUUCAGAUAAAAGUUUAAAAAAUUAAACAUUAAAACUACCAAUACAUUUAUUUUAAAGCGCUAUUUAUUAUGACUUUAAUCAAUUGAUAAUUUGGAUUGGAAUUGGCAUCUCUCUCUUUGUUUCUUAGGAAUGGAGGGUUUAUAGUAUGGUUGAAAACGGCUGUGGGAGUCAUAAGUAUUGGCCCCAGUGACUGUGUAAAUCGAGUGGCAAGUCCUUAACGGCAUAUGUGGAUAAGGGGAUACUUGAUCAGUGGUUAUUUGAACUCUGCAAUUAAACGAUAUCACGAAAUCCUGGAGAUUACUGCUUCCUAUAUUAAAUGAGGUAAAUUACAGUUGAGACAAUAAUAGAAUUGAAAGUUUUACAUAGUUAAAAAUCCUUAUUAUUAGUCUUUGAAAAAUUCUUUAUUAGUCAGUAUUUAUUUAAUAUACAGUAUUAUUUAAAUUCAUCAACUUACGUCUGAAGUAAAAAAUGUAAAUUUUUGUUGUUGGUUGUGUGUCUUCUUUUGUUUUUUGUCAAGAUUUGGAGUACUAGUGCAUUAAUUACCUGGUCACUCGAAACAACGAGAUUCCCAGUCUGUGAUUGAGCCAACACGUGAUGGAUUAAGAUAUGAAUCUGAAGUCAUUUGAGGCAGCAGUGAGUUACUCGUAAGCAAUUUGUGGUUCAGCCGACAACUUGUUGUUUUAAGAUUUAUACAGAGCCUUCCAAGAGAUGAUGAUAAACAAUGAUAAUAAUUAAUUUCACGUAAUUCAUACAUAUAUGAUAAAAGAUAAUAUAAUUGGUAUACUUCAAGGACAUUAUUCUGUAAAAGGUAAUAGCAUUAUAUGUUUAAAGAGUAGUAUUUGUAUUUUAUAAUAUAUAAAAGUUUUGAUUAAAAAUGAAAUAACUGGUUCAUAAGAAAGAAUAUAGCUUAAACACUCUUCAUGAGUCUAUGGAAUUAUAAUAUUGUUAGAAUAUUUGUGUUGUUUCUUAUUCUUAGGACGAUGGAAUAUAAAGCAGACUUUGAUUUUAAUCCUGUAGAAACGUAUUGCAUUAUCAACUUGAGGACUGUGGUUAUGAAUGUAAAGGCUUGGCAAGUGAACUUUGCGAAUGAACAUUAUCUCGUUGAAGUGUGUUGAUCAGGCUUCCAACUAAAGCCGUGAGUCUUUUAAUGACAUAUUCUAAAAUUUACUUUUUGAGUGUUUUAGUGUUUGCUGUAGCAAUAAGUACAAUAUCAUGGUAAAGAGCAUUAAUGUUGUAUUAACCAGUUUAAGUAAUUAGUUAUUUGAUUUUGUGCAUAAUAACUAUUUGAAAAAUGGAAUGAUUUAAUCCUUUUAGGUGUCUGAAGUGUGAAUUAUUCUAAUAUAAUUUAACAAUCAAAGUCUUAUAAAUGCUUUUGAUUGGUAUUUUAGUACUUGCAAUGUGGACAAACUGCCUAAAUAGUUUCAAAAAGAAUCGAUAAAAUAUUCAUACUACAAUUUAUUGAAAUGAAUAGCUCUAUUUCUUAAUUAAUCAGUUUUUAAUAUGUUUUGAAUAUUUUAUUUGUAUUAGUUUCCUUAGGGAAAAGAUGUGUGUGUAGUAUGGUUUUAGAAGCGGUGCCUAAUCCGGUAGAAAAAUAUGAGUUUGAGGAUGUGAUUUACAAUUAUCCUACGACUAUCCAGACCUGUGGAGUGCGUGUUGGAACCUAUAAACUGAUGUCGCGAAACCCAGGAAAUUACUACCAGCUAUUUAAUAAGAGGAUGAUGAGGUAUAGUAGAGAUGACAAUAUUUCAACUACCUACAUUCCGUAGAAUUUUGGUAUUAAUAUAAUUCUUUACAAUGUCUGUACUUGUAUUGGUUGUGCGUCUUGUUUUGCCACUUUUGUUAGGAUCAGAAACUUACCUACGAUUCAUGCUGCCUGCAUUCAUUUGAGGCAAUAAAUUCCUGCUGUAUCACUUUUUGAGGAAAUAAGAGAAAUAUUGGACCUUUUAUUCAAAGAUAACUAGAGGUAAAUGAUUUAUGUCACAGAACUUAUACAUAUAUGAAUUAGAAUAUAGAAAUUAAUAUUUUCACAAUGUAGUUGUUGGUUGUUCGUGUUGUUUUGUUAUUUGUCAGGAAUAGAUAUCUAACCGCGAUUUGUGGAGUUCCUGCCGUACCUACUUUAUAUUGAGCUUACUACACGAGGAAUUUAGAAAACGAUGGGGCCGAUAAUCGAGGUAGAAAUAUCGGAGGUAAAUGAUUUAUUCACAAGACUUAUAUAAUAGAGGUAUAAAAUAUAAGCACAUGUUUAUAUAAAUAUCAGAAUAGAAAUGUUUGGUAAUAAUAUUAAAACUACCAAUAAAAAGAUUUUAAAGUGUAUAUAUAUAUAUAUUUGAGAAUAAUCAAUGGAAAAAUUAUUGUGGAACUGGCAUCUCGUUGUUUGUUUCUUAGGUGUGGAGGUUGUAGUGUGAUUUAAAUGAACUGUCUGAUACUGCGAGAUUCAUAUGUAUGUGCCCAAGUGAUUUGAAAUUCAUAUGACACUGCAAGUUUUAAUUAACGGGUACGGAGAUUCUUGUAUCGUGCUUGUCGGAGCCCAACAUAAUCAGUUGUCAUGGAAUUGAGGAGGGUGCCAGCUAUAUAGAAAGAGGUACAAUUUAAUAAUUGUACUAUAAAUUAUUUGUUAGCUAUACAGUACUUACUAAUUAAUUCUUGUUUAACCUUUUAUUUGCAAAAAGUUUUUGUUUGUUGUGUGUCUUGGUUUGUUACUUGUCAGGAUUGGAUAUAUUACUGCCAACUGCGAAGGUAUGGGGAGUCACGACUGAAGGGAGUUCUUACUGUACUUUCUUUACUCCAGCCUAUUACGUGAGGAAUUAAGAAAAGUGUGGGAUCUUGUAAGCAAAGUAGUAUUACUGGAGGUAAAUUAUUUGUCACUAAACUUCUACAUAUAACGCAGAAUAUAGAAGUAUAAAAUAUUAGCACGUCACAGGUUCAGAUAAAAGUUUAAAAAAUUAAACAUUAAAACUACCAAUACAUUUAUUUUAAAGCGCUAUUUAUUAUGACUUUAAUCAAUUGAUAAUUUGGAUUGGAAUUGGCAUCUCUCUCUUUGUUUCUUAGGAAUGGAGGGUUUAUAGUAUGGUUGAAAACGGCUGUGGGAGUCAUAAGUAUUGGCCCCAGUGACUGUGUAAAUCGAGUGGCAAGUCCUUAACGGCAUAUGUGGAUAAGGGGAUACUUGAUCAGUGGUUAUUUGAACUCUGCAAUUAAACGAUAUCACGAAAUCCUGGAGAUUACUGCUUCCUAUAUUAAAUGAGGUAAAUUACAGUUGAGACAAUAAUAGAAUUGAAAGUUUUACAUAGUUAAAAAUCCUUAUUAUUAGUCUUUGAAAAAUUCUUUAUUAGUCAGUAUUUAUUUAAUAUACAGUAUUAUUUAAAUUCAUCAACUUACGUCUGAAGUAAAAAAUGUAAAUUUUUGUUGUUGGUUGUGUGUCUUCUUUUGUUUUUUGUCAAGAUUUGGAGUACUAGUGCAUUAAUUACCUGGUCACUCGAAACAACGAGAUUCCCAGUCUGUGAUUGAGCCAACACGUGAUGGAUUAAGAUAUGAAUCUGAAGUCAUUUGAGGCAGCAGUGAGUUACUCGUAAGCAAUUUGUGGUUCAGCCGACAACUUGUUGUUUUAAGAUUUAUACAGAGCCUUCCAAGAGAUGAUGAUAAACAAUGAUAAUAAUUAAUUUCACGUAAUUCAUACAUAUAUGAUAAAAGAUAAUAUAAUUGGUAUACUUCAAGGACAUUAUUCUGUAAAAGGUAAUAGCAUUAUAUGUUUAAAGAGUAGUAUUUGUAUUUUAUAAUAUAUAAAAGUUUUGAUUAAAAAUGAAAUAACUGGUUCAUAAGAAAGAAUAUAGCUUAAACACUCUUCAUGAGUCUAUGGAAUUAUAAUAUUGUUAGAAUAUUUGUGUUGUUUCUUAUUCUUAGGACGAUGGAAUAUAAAGCAGACUUUGAUUUUAAUCCUGUAGAAACGUAUUGCAUUAUCAACUUGAGGACUGUGGUUAUGAAUGUAAAGGCUUGGCAAGUGAACUUUGCGAAUGAACAUUAUCUCGUUGAAGUGUGUUGAUCAGGCUUCCAACUAAAGCCGUGAGUCUUUUAAUGACAUAUUCUAAAAUUUACUUUUUGAGUGUUUUAGUGUUUGCUGUAGCAAUAAGUACAAUAUCAUGGUAAAGAGCAUUAAUGUUGUAUUAACCAGUUUAAGUAAUUAGUUAUUUGAUUUUGUGCAUAAUAACUAUUUGAAAAAUGGAAUGAUUUAAUCCUUUUAGGUGUCUGAAGUGUGAAUUAUUCUAAUAUAAUUUAACAAUCAAAGUCUUAUAAAUGCUUUUGAUUGGUAUUUUAGUACUUGCAAUGUGGACAAACUGCCUAAAUAGUUUCAAAAAGAAUCGAUAAAAUAUUCAUACUACAAUUUAUUGAAAUGAAUAGCUCUAUUUCUUAAUUAAUCAGUUUUUAAUAUGUUUUGAAUAUUUUAUUUGUAUUAGUUUCCUUAGGGAAAAGAUGUGUGUGUAGUAUGGUUUUAGAAGCGGUGCCUAAUCCGGUAGAAAAAUAUGAGUUUGAGGAUGUGAUUUACAAUUAUCCUACGACUAUCCAGACCUGUGGAGUGCGUGUUGGAACCUAUAAACUGAUGUCGCGAAACCCAGGAAAUUACUACCAGCUAUUUAAUAAGAGGAUGAUGAGGUAUAGUAGAGAUGACAAUAUUUCAACUACCUACAUUCCGUAGAAUUUUGGUAUUAAUAUAAUUCUUUACAAUGUCUGUACUUGUAUUGGUUGUGCGUCUUGUUUUGCCACUUUUGUUAGGAUCAGAAACUUACCUACGAUUCAUGCUGCCUGCAUUCAUUUGAGGCAAUAAAUUCCUGCUGUAUCACUUUUUGAGGAAAUAAGAGAAAUAUUGGACCUUUUAUUCAAAGAUAACUAGAGGUAAAUGAUUUAUGUCACAGAACUUAUACAUAUAUGAAUUAGAAUAUAGAAAUUAAUAUUUUCACAAUGUAGUUGUUGGUUGUUCGUGUUGUUUUGUUAUUUGUCAGGAAUAGAUAUCUAACCGCGAUUUGUGGAGUUCCUGCCGUACCUACUUUAUAUUGAGCUUACUACACGAGGAAUUUAGAAAACGAUGGGGCCGAUAAUCGAGGUAGAAAUAUCGGAGGUAAAUGAUUUAUUCACAAGACUUAUAUAAUAGAGGUAUAAAAUAUAAGCACAUGUUUAUAUAAAUAUCAGAAUAGAAAUGUUUGGUAAUAAUAUUAAAACUACCAAUAAAAAGAUUUUAAAGUGUAUAUAUAUAUAUAUUUGAGAAUAAUCAAUGGAAAAAUUAUUGUGGAACUGGCAUCUCGUUGUUUGUUUCUUAGGUGUGGAGGUUGUAGUGUGAUUUAAAUGAACUGUCUGAUACUGCGAGAUUCAUAUGUAUGUGCCCAAGUGAUUUGAAAUUCAUAUGACACUGCAAGUUUUAAUUAACGGGUACGGAGAUUCUUGUAUCGUGCUUGUCGGAGCCCAACAUAAUCAGUUGUCAUGGAAUUGAGGAGGGUGCCAGCUAUAUAGAAAGAGGUACAAUUUAAUAAUUGUACUAUAAAUUAUUUGUUAGCUAUACAGUACUUACUAAUUAAUUCUUGUUUAACCUUUUAUUUGCAAAAAGUUUUUGUUUGUUGUGUGUCUUGGUUUGUUACUUGUCAGGAUUGGAUAUAUUACUGCCAACUGCGAAGGUAUGGGGAGUCACGACUGAAGGGAGUUCUUACUGUACUUUCUUUACUCCAGCCUAUUACGUGAGGAAUUAAGAAAAGUGUGGGAUCUUGUAAGCAAAGUAGUAUUACUGGAGGUAAAUUAUUUGUCACUAAACUUCUACAUAUAACGCAGAAUAUAGAAGUAUAAAAUAUUAGCACGUCACAGGUUCAGAUAAAAGUU